CAUCUCACGGCUGCAACAAAAAUCUCGUCUCGAUCCCCAUUAAUCAUUCCUAAGAAGCCUAAUACUUUCGGCUGCAACGGAAUCUAUUCGUCUCGAUCCCCAUUAAUCAUUCCUAAGAACCCUAAUUCUUCAAUCAUGGGGAUACGCGGGAGAGACAGGCAAUCGACGGACGGACGCAAUGUCACGGACUAGUUGAGCAGCGUUGACUGGUUGCGCUAACUCGAGCGGCCGGCCGCCGGCGGAGUGUGAUCACGGAGCCGCUUCAUAUGUUAGCAUUGUUGUGUAGGCUCUGGUCUAUUUGAUCGGCAACGACUACUGAACGAAAACAAAUCCAUCCCCUGGUUGAUCGAUGUUAGCUCUAAUCAUGUACUUGUAUUAGUUUUCAGACUUUGGUUAAUUCAUUUGUAAUAGGGAUUACGUGCAUCGGCUAUUAAUGUGUAGGCCAUGUACUGAACACUGUUCUCUUCUUGACUUGCUCGGCACUUGCGUCACCAGACAAGGAUGGGAGAGGGAGUGUGUGUACAGGACUGCGCCGGCAACGCAUGUCCUGGUGUAUGCUGCUAUGGCAGCUGGUGUAUACCUCCUCAGCUGCGGCUGCUGGAGGAGUUGCUCCUAAGUGAAGCAAAGGAAGGCAACCCCAAUUGAAUAGGGGGGCCGGAAAUCAUCUCUACUUGUGCUGCUCUGUUCUUGGUGUGUGCGUGUGUUUUUGCCCUCUAGGUGUUCGACCAAUUGCCUCUCAUCGAUCCUGUGUGAAAUCGAGCUUGCCGUGGUGUCCACCGUGAAAGUGAGACUGAGUAAGACUUGAUGCUCUACAAUUGGUAUCAUAGCCGACGUUUGGAGGCGUAAGGAGUGGUGAUGCCGGACACGCCGACGCCGAAGGAGCAGGCGGAGGCAGAGAAGAAAUCAGCAGGCGGAGGCAGAGAAGAAAUUGAAGCAGCAGCAGCGUUUGAAACUGGAGGAGGAGAUGAAGGAGAUGGCGGAAAAGCUCAAGGAGUUGGACGUCAAUGGUACGAGCGAUUCCAAGUCCGCUCUGCCAUUGACGACCUUGGCGAGUCCGGCGCCGUCGCACCUCCCGAUUGCGUGGCCGCAGCUGACGCGCACGAACUACACCAUCUGGUCCAUGAAGAUGCGCGUGGCGAUGCAGUCCGCGCACGUGUGGGAGGCGACGCAGAGGUCAGACGUCGACUUCGAUAUGGACCGUGAGGCGCUGUUCGCGAUCUACUCCGCCGUGCCCGACACCGUGAUGUCAUCUCUCGCUGGCCGUGACACUGCAAAGGCCGCUUGGGACGCCAUCAAGACGUCGCACGUCGGGCACGACCGAGUACGGGAAGCAAGCCUUCAGUCCCUGCGCAAGGAUUUUGAAGAGCUGCAGAUGGGUGACGCGGAGUCAGUGGAUGACUUCGCGAGCAGAAUCUCAGCGUUGGUGGCAGGGAUCCGUGCGCUCGGUGACACUCUGUCAGAGCUGCGUGUGGUCCAGAAGUUUCUUCAGGCGGCUCCGGCACACUACAUGCAGAUCGUGACCUCGAUUGAGCAGUGUGUGCCGUUAAACACUCUCACCGUUGAAGAUCUCGUCGGCCAGUACAAGGCGCACGACGAGCGAGUACGUCAACGCUUCGGCAACCCCAAAGAUGGUGAGCAUCUCAUGCUAUCUAGGUCUCAGUGGGAAAACUUUACUGGAAAUAAAAGGAAAAAUGUAGAGGGUACUGGGAACUGGGCAAAGGCAGGGAGCUCAAGCAGUGGUGCUGCUAGUGCAAAGCAGAGCACUGAACAAGCAAAAGGGGAAUGGAAGUUUGACAAGAAGAACAAUUGUGGCAAGAAAGGGCACUUUAAGAAAGAGUGUAAAAAGCCCAGGAAGGAACGAGCCAUGGUUGCCGAGAAGGAAAUUUGAGAUGAAGAACCUGCAUUGCUCAUGGUGCAAACAUGUGAGUUGAUGCAGAGUUCAGAGACUGUUGAUGGUGAAGUAUUUCUGAAUGAAGAGAAGGUUCAGCUGAAGGCUAGAAAUGCAGAGAAUUACGAUUGUGGCGUGUCGUACUUAGACACUGGAGCCACUAAUCAUAUGACAGGGGUCAAGGAGAAAUUCAGUGACAUUGAUGAAACAGUGAAAGGGAAAGUGAAGUUUGGAGAUGGCUCAACUGUGGCAAUUUUGGGACGAGGAACUAUUUUGUUCCAAUGCAAAAAUGGUGAACACAGAGCACUAACAAAUGUGUAUUACAUCCCAUCACUAAAGAGCAACAUAAUCAACAUUGGUCAGCUGUCUGAAAAAGGUUGCAAGAUAGUCAUUGAAGAUGAUUAUCUCCUGUUGUAUGACCCUGGAAGAAGAUUAUUGGCAAGGGUGAAAAGAGCACGUAACAGAUUGUAUAUUCUUGAUCUCAGCUUGACAAGGCCAAUAUGUUUGAUGGCAAAUACAGGGGAUGCUGCUUGGAUCUGGCAUGCAAGGUAUGGGCACUUAAAUUUUGAUGCAUUGCAUAAGCUUGCCAGAAAGAAUAUGGUAGUAGGACUACCUCAGAUAGAUCACAUAGAACAAAUCUGUGAUGGUUGUCCGAUUGGAAAGCAGAGAAGGAAACCUUUUCCUGCAACUGCUACUUUCAGGGCAGAGCAACCGCUAGCACUACUGCAUGCUGAUCUGUGUGGGCCUGUAACACCUCCAACACCUGCAGGAAAUCGAUACUUCUUGCUUGUCGUUGAUGACUACAACAGGUACAUGUGGAUAGUACUGCUGAAGAGCAAAGAUCAAGCACUGGCAGCCAUUCAUAAAGUCAAGAAAAAAGCUGAGAAGGAAGUAAACUGUGAACUGAAAUCUCUUAGGACAGAUAGAGGUGGAGAGUUUAAUUCAAUGCAUUUUAAUGAAUAUUGUGACGAGCAUGGAAUUAAACACUUUCUCACUGCACCAUACUCACCACAACAGAAUGGCGUCGUAGAACGUAGAAAUCAGACAGUUGUCUCAAUGGCAAGAAGUCUAUUGAAGAGUAUGAGUGUGCCUGGUAUAUUUUGGGGAGAAGCAGUUCUUAGAGCUGUGUAUAUCUUGAAUAGAGCUCCCACAAAGAGUGUGAAAGACAGGACACCAUAUGAGGCUUGGUUCAACAAGAAGCCAAAGAUCCAUCACUUGCGCACCUUUGGAUGUGUUGCUUAUGUGAAAAUCACCAAACCAAAUCAGUCAAAGCUUGAUGAUAGAAGCCAGCGUGCUGUGUUAAUUGGAUAUAAACCACUGACAAAAGCCUACCAUUUGUUUGAUCCCGUGACUAAGAAAGUGAUUGUAUCACCUGAUGUUGUAUUCGAUGAAAAAAGGCAUUGGGAUUGGAGUGAAGUGACUGAGCUAGAAAUGCAAGGAGAGGAAAUGAAUUUACUGUUGUGUAUCCUACAUAUGAUGUUGAUACCAGGAAAGCACAAAGGAAGAUAGAACAAUCUGAUCAGUCUUCUGAUGUGGCUCAAAAUGCACCAGCUCUUGGAAAUGAUGAACCUUCUACACCUAACAAGCCUUCUACCCCUCUUGUGCCCAUUCUAGGCACGACUGGGAGUGCUGGUGUGGGAAUGGAGAGUGGAGAACAAUCUUCUAGUGUUGGACCGCAAGGGUAUCGCAAUAUGCAGGAAUUACUUGACAAUACCUCACCCUGUACGCUGGACCUUGACGAUGACAAUCAGUGUAUGUUGAGUGCAGAGGAGCCAGCAACUCUAGCUGAGGCACACAAGGAAGCAAUGUUGGAGGAAGGCGAUGGAUGAAGAGAUGAAAUCUGUCAUUGACAACCAAACGUGGGUUAUGGUUGAUCCACCAACUGGAAAGAAGUCUAUUGGGCUGAAGUGGGUCUAUAAAGUGAAGAAAGAUCCAACUGGAGCAAUUGUCAAGCACAAAGCCAGAUUAGUUGCUAAAGGUUAUGUGCAGAAACAUGGUGUAGACUUUGAAGAAGUUUUUGCUCCAGUGGCACGCAUGGAAUCAGUGAGACUGGCGGGGGCAUUAGCAUCACAAGAGGGAUGGCAGGUAUAUCACAUGGAUGUGAAGUCUGCAUUCUUGAAUGGAGAACUGCAUGAGGAAGUAUAUGUGUGUCAAGCUCCUGGUUAUGAGGAAGCUGGCAAGGAAUAUAAGGUGCUCAAAUUGCAGAAAGCACUUUAUGGUUUAAAACAAGCACCCAGAGCAUGGAAUACCAAACUGGAUGCAAGUUUGUUGACUCUUGGCUUUGCAAGGUGCCCAUUGGAGCAUGGUGUGUACUUGAGAAACACAGGUGAUAACCAGCUUCCAGUUGGAGUGUAUGUGGAUGACCUAAUUAUUUCGGGUUCAAGCACAGUUGAGAUAGAAAAGUUCAAAGAACAGAUGAAAGAAUUGUUUAAGAUGAGUGACCUUGGGUUGCUCUCUUAUUACCUAGGAAUUGAAGUAUCUCAGGGGGUGAAUGGCAUCACACUUUGUCAAGCAGGAUAUGUAUAGAAAAUUGUUGACAAAGGAGGAAUGAGCGAGUGCAAUCCAAGCCCAAUUCCAAUGGAAUCGAGACUGAAGCUAUACAAGUCACAGGAAGAAGAAAGAGUGGAUCCUACAAUGUACAGAAGUCUCAUUGGGAGUUUGAGGUAUCUCAUCAAUACGAGACCUGAUCUUGCUUAUGCAGUAGGCAUUGUUAGUAGGUUCAUGGAAGAUCCUGGUGUAUCACACAUGGCUGCUGUAAAGCAUAUACUAAGGUACAUCCGUGGAACCAUUACUUUUGGUUGUCAUUAUACCAGAAGAGGAGAAGGAUAUUCUGGACUUGUUGGCUAUUGUGAUAGUGAUUUGGCUGGAGAUGUAAAUGACAAGGAUAUUCUGGACUUGUUGGCUAUUGUGAUAGUGAUUUGGCUGGAGAUGUAAAUGACAGGAAGAGCACAAGUGGUAUGAUCUUCUUCCUUGGCUCCAACCCAAUCACUUGGGUCUCGCAAAAACAGAAAGUGGUUGCUCUUUCAUCAUGUGAAGCAGAAUAUAUAUCUGCAGCUACUGCAGCUUGUCAAGGAGUAUGGCUAGGCCGCUUACUUGCUCAACUGCAGAACAAGGAGAUACAUUGCGUGAAGCUGAAGAUCGACAACCAAUCUGCUAUCUCCUUGUGCAAAAAUCCUGUCUAUCACGACCGCAGUAAGCACAUUCAGACUCCAUACCAUUUCAUUCGAGAUUGUGUGGAGGAAGGAAGCGUGGCUGUGGAGCAUGUGAGGACAGGUGACCAAUUUGCUGAUUUGCUGACGAAGCCAUUGCCUCGGAUAAAGUUUCUGGAACUUAGGGAGAGGAUCGGAGUUCGUCCAGUGAAGAUACAAGUACAAGAUUAAGGGAGAGAUUGUUAGCUCUAAUCAUGUACUUGUAUUAGUUUUUCAGACUUUGGUUAAUUCAUUUGUAAUAGGGAUUACGUGCAUCGGCUAUUAAUGUGUAGGCCAUGCACUGAACACUGUUCUCUCCUUGACUUGCUCGGCACUUGCGUCAGCAGACAAGGAUGGGAGAGGGAGUGUGUGUACAGGACUGCGCCGGCAACGCACGUCCUGGUGUAUGCUGCUACGGCAGCUGGUGUAUACCUCCUCAGCUGCGGCUGCUGGAGGAGUUGCUCCUAAGUGAAGCAAAGGAAGGCAACCCCAAUUGAAUAGGGGGGCUGGAAAUCAUCUCUGCUUGUGCUGCUCUGUUCUUGGUGUGUGCAUGUGUUUUUGCCCUCUAGGUGUUCGACCAAUUGCCUCUCAUCGAUCCUGUGUGAAAUUGAGCUUGCCGUGGUGUCCACCGUGAAAGUGAGACUGAGUGAGACUUGAUGCUCUACAAUCGAUACAAUUAGUUGCCAUGUUCGUUUGGGCUGGGAGACCAACGUGAUGAGGAGAUCGGAGGAAAAACAGCGGCGCCCAUGCAAAGGAAAGAAGCAGCGGCGCAUGGAUUGUAACAGCGAGUACGAGACCGGAGGGGAACGUGUGCUUAAGGGUCGGCCGGCGUCGGCGGCGUGACUGGCCGCUUGAAUUGGAAGGCGGCGGCUGCGACUUGCGGUGUCUACAUGAUAGGCACGAGAAUUACCAAAAAAAAUACACCUGAUAAUACCGGUACAAAAGACUAAAUUAUCCUUUUAAACAGAGGGCUAGAUUUAGAUGGUACUUCUGUCUCUAAUAAAGAGUACCGGGUUACUGUAAAAAUCCUCAAAAAAAAAAGUGUACUCACGUGUGUGAAGUGUGAUAUGUACAUGUAAAUGACGCGUUGUCAUAGUUCCGAGAAGCGAAAAUGUAGACCUACGAUUUCAUAUUGAAUUGACAUGGCCACCUACGAAUUUCGUAUUCAAUCGACAUGGUCGCAUACUCACAUGGACAUCUCAAUGGCUCCUGUACGUCGCCACAGAUCAACAAUGAGAAGUAUUGCACCACAAAAAAUCUUGCUAUGUAAAUGAAAUUCUAAGGGAGUGUCUAUUUCUCACUCGACUUAGAAAUAGUUAUUCCUUAGUCGACAAUCACAAACAUACAAUGAAGGUUUUCCCAUCCUUCAUAUUUACAUCAAUUUUGCACGAAUCUUAAUGAUUGGAUCCGACGACAGUUAGCAUUGACUAAACAUAGUUAUUUCUCAAUCGAUUCAGAAAUAGUAAAACCAAAAUCCUAAACUAUAUAUAACGCAUGUUCUAUACAUGGUGAUGCAAGGCAAAUAGAAUAGACACCACACACUUAAGGGGAUGCCGAGUGGCCCGUUCCGAUCGAUUUUCCUAGCACUCGCGACAACAAAAGCCCAAAUCUCUUCCUCCGACGUGAUUGCGACUCGCUAGCAUGGCUGCCGGAAAGCAAUGAGACCCUCCAUAAUUAAUGUCGGGAGGGAAAGUUAACUUGUAGGGAUAGUCCCUCCACGUGGAAGUGAGCUAGCAAACGUCCAACGCAGCCCAAAAGUCCAGCUCACCUGAAUCGUUAAUCUCAGCCACAUCGAAUGGCCGAGAUGCCUCCUUGAGAGAGGAGCAGAAACCCUUAUCUCCGCAGUAGAGAGUUCCCUUGUUGGUUGCUGAGAGUGAGAUAUUGAGCAAGGGAGUGAGAGCAGCGCGCGCGCACAACCAAAGAGAGGGGAGAAGAGAGGAAGAAAAACUCUGUCCAGAUUGGUGGCUCUGUGUUGAUCUUCACCGAGCUUGUUCGUUGCUGGCUCAAACGUGGUUGGAUCAACUCCAAACUUGUUGAGUUUGUUCCAGACUCAGAGAACUUCGAUUUGGCAAGUCGGUUUGAGAAUUAAGUGGUCAGAACACCAGAUUAGAGAUUGUUUCGUCAGAUCUGUUUGCUGAAAUUUCAGAGGCGUGCAGAUUGGGCUAUUGUCAGUUUCAGGGGUCAUACAGUGUCAUAUUGAGCUUAACUUUUGACAGCGUGUUGAGGACUCAUAGCAGUACAUAUAUGGCAAAUUUCAUGCAAUUUGAAUCAACGCUUUAAGAAUAAUAAUGUAAAAACCGAAUAGGACCAAAACUGUGUUUCUUUGUUAGCCGAGUUUAAUCUAUAUCCUAUUGCUCUUUUUAAGAGUGGUUGCUGUUAAUGAUUGUUGUAAUAAAAUAAAACCCUUAUAUGGGUCGGGCCGUAAAUUCUACUUGGCGACGACUAAGUCAACAUUUUCCAAGCAUGAGUCAACAUGCUCACGUGGCGUAGUCAAUUCUACAUGGAAAAGGAAGACAAGUUAACAAGUAAAGUCUCUCAUGCCAUGGUCAAAGGGAGGAAUGAGCUAGAGUAGGGGACAAGAAAGGUGUAGGGAUGAGGAUUUUGGUCCAUGGUGGAUCAUGGACCAACCCUCACUUUUCCCACAUGGUGCACAUAAAAAAAAUGGACCAAGAAGCUACUUUUACCAUUUUGCCCCCACUUUUCUCUCUCCCCCAAUGGUAGCCAUGGUCUUUUGUCAUGGACCCCUAGGCUAUAAAUACCCCCCCAGGGGGCAUGUAUCAUUCACUCUCAACUUGAAUAAACUCAAGGGGAGAGGGUUAGAGUGCUCCCUCUAAGGUUCGCUCUCAAACGCCGCUUUCGACUAAAAGUCGACCGGCCUCGAGGAAGCCUUCCAGGGGAUUCUAGUUUCGAGGCUCCGAGCUAACCUUGGUUAGCACGGGCUCGAAGGAGAAGGGGUUGGGUUAGAGUUCCGAGGGUAUCCUAACCUCGAUACUUGGAAAGACGCGUUCGGUCCAAGUAUGAGGUGGCCCCGAUGAAUCUCUUGCUAAAGGUGUCUUGGGAAGAUCCGCUCGGCCCAAGCACUUGGCUAACAACCCCCUCAAAGCCUUUUCUAACAUAGGAUUAAUUAAGUCGUACCCGCAGGGUCGACCGAACCUAUUAAAAAAAUAUCGAUGUGUCAACCUGUCCAAGUGUACACGCCCUACUUUUAUACCCGCACUUAUGCCAUCAAGCAUUGGCACCCCUUACUCUAAUUGUUGUCGAGAACAACAACAGUGGCGCCGACCGUGGGGAACCCUUGCCGCAAUUGAAGAUUUAAUGGCCCCGAUGAAGCCUACUUCAUCGGGUGCCCAACUUGCCGCGAAGUCUACACGGUUGCAAAUGAAGAAAGCAAACUCCUCGGGGGCUCCCGAGGAAGAAGGAAUCCUCACCAAUCCGGACGUCGUCGCAAGCAUGGUCGCCACAACGGAAGUUGUGGUCGCACCUCCGCUCCCGGCCGUCCCUGAAGGAACCGAGGUCCCUCGACACUUACCGACGUAAUGGCAAGGAUCGACGAGCUGCCUACACUUGCCACCUCCGCAGGGGAUACGGAACUCGGCAUGCCUCGCUCGAUGGGCUUCGCACCACCUUCCCUACAACCGGUAGCGACCUUGCCCUCGGAAUAUACAAGAGGAAACAAUGUGGCGUCAGAAGGAUCCGCACCAGAAAACAAAGGAGUCUCGGCCUACAACCCCUCCAACCCGGGACUGCCUCCGCUGGUGCUCGCUGCGAUCGGCCAUGGAGCUCCUGGGUAUCAUCCUUAUUGGGGGCUUCCGCUAAAUGGCGCUCUCCAAGUCGCACAUGCUCGACACCAACCUCACUUGGUGAACGCCCCGCAAGCGCCCUUUGCUCCCCCCACUGGGGUCGAGCAAGGUGGCAACCAAGUACCACCUCAAGCUAUGCCUCGCGGAGAACGAGACCCCGUCGUGCAUGGAAAUGAGCAAGUGGCGGAGUCCGGAGCCCGUCCCGACGGUGAAAGAAAUUCCCGUCGAUGCUCCGACCCCCAAGAAAACGCCGAGAUCAUUCUCCAAGCGACCCUUCUUGCGACGAAAGCGACUUCGACGAGGGAGGACCUCGCCGCCGAAGGAACCGGAAGAACUGGCCGACUUGUAACCCGCUCACACGGGAGAUCCAAGACGUGCCUUUUUCGCCAAGGUUCAAGCCGCCUACAAUACGACCGUAUGACGGGGAGUCAAAUCCUCUUCAGUUCCUGGAUGUCUACUCCACCGCCAUACGGGCCGCCGGGGGAGGUCGCGUCGAGAUGUGCAACCUCUUUCCGCUCGCGCUCACCGGGAUGGCGCAAACUUGGUUUUAUAACCUGCGGAAGAACUCCGUGCACUCGUGGGAGCGCCUCCAAGAGGUCUCCAUCGCCAACUUUCAGGGAAACUUCGAAGAACCCGUGCAGGCUCACGAGCUAUACGCCAUGAAACAAAAUUAGGGGGAAUCCCUCCGAAGCUUCUUCCCUCGCCACCGUGAUCGACGCAUGCAUGCAAGGCCUUCUCCAAGGAGAAGUAUAUCGGGCCCUAAGUCGCAACCCCUCGAAGAUGACCUAGGAGCUCUAUCGAAUCUUGCAAGAAUACGCCCGGGGUGAAUACAGGGACAUUGCCAAAAAGGACGCGCCACGCGCCGCUCCCGAAGGAACUCCCUCACCCAACAAACCACCUACGCCUACUUCGUCUUCCAAGAAGAAGAGGAGGUGGGGGAAAAAGGCCCCCGGCGACCAAGCCCGGAAGAUCUUCGCCGUUGAAGGACAAGCAUCAUCCCAAAAGACUUGGCAACCCAAGAAGCCACCUCGCCCCGCCGAGGGAGGAACUGGAAGAUGCCUCAUCCACAACUCGGCAAGCCACAGCACCGAAGAGUGCAACACUCUCAUCGCGGCUCGCGAAGAGUUCCAGGCACGAAUGCAAGCCUGGCGCAAGGAUGAAAAGAUAGCCGAGGCUCCACGCCUCGCCAACGUCCUUGUCGCUGACCCGACACCUAAGGAGGAUAACCUCCCGAUUCAUUAACCCGCGCAUCACGUCGGAGUGAUACUCGGAGGCUCCGCCACAGGCCGGGGAUCGAAGUGGCAACGCAAGGAAUAUGCUCGCGAAGUCAACGUCGUGAGAACCUUCACCCUGACACCACCACCAAAGUGGGCGAGCAUGCCAAUUGCCUUCACCGAGGAAGAGGCCAAGGGGAUACGCUUCCCACACGACAACGCCCUUUUCAUGACAGCGAUUGUCGCCAAUUGUGAGCUCAAGAAGAUUCUUGUGGAUGGCGGAAGUUCCACUGACAUCCUAUAUCCGAGCACGUUGAAGAAGCUGAUUGAACCACAAGGGGGAUACCAGAAUGGCUCGUUGCAGCCAUCCCUUUAUCCUCUCACUGGCUUUGUGCCAGGGAAGUCCAUUCAGCCGCUCGGACAAAUUGAGCUCCUCACGACCUUCGGAGACGCCACAAAUCAUCAAACUGAGCUCGUGCGCUUCGACGUGGUGGAUAUAGAGGCCUCCUUUAACGCCAUCCUCGGGAGGACGACGCUAAACCGUCUCUGCACCGCCAUCCACCACAACUUCUUGUGCAUGAAGAUCCCGGGCCCAAAGGGCGUGAUAACGGUCCGCGUCGAGCAAUCUUCCGAUAGGAAGACACUCUACCGCCAUGAGACCAAGUGCGCCGAAAAGGGAUAAUCAUCCAAGAGUAUCAGCAUGCUUUCGAACACGGGAGCAUCCGAAACCGAUCACCCAGAGCGCUACAUCCCUAAGCCUCUCCCCAAAGAAGAACUCAACGAAGUACGCGUCUCCCAAGAUGACGCCACGCGCACGGUGAAGAUUGGAGCCGACCUCCUGAGUAAACUCGAGGAAGAACUUGUCGACCUACUUCGAAAGAAUUCUGAUCUCUUCGCUUGGUCACCUUUCGACAUGGGAGGAGUCCCGCGCGACGUCAUGGAGCAUCGCCUCGCCGUGAGACCCGACAAAGCUCCCGUAAAGCAAAAGCUUUGGAAACUCUCCACCGAGCAAAGCGAAGUCAUCAAGCAAGAAAUCGCCAAACUCUCCGACGCUGGGCUCAUCCGAGAAGUUUGGCACCCCGAAUGGUUAGCCAAUCCGGUCUUGGUAAAGAAAGCCAACGGCAAGUGGCGAAUGUGUGUCGACUUUACGGACUUGAAAAAGGCGUGCCCCAAUGACGACUACCCGCUCCCUCGGAUCGACCAACUGGUCGACUCCACGGCGGGAUGCGAAAGGUUGAGCUUCUUGGAUGCCUAUUCAGGGUAUCACCAAGUCCACAUGGCCAAGGAAGACGAGGAAAAGACCAGCUUCAUCACUUCCAUCGGCACCUUCUGCUAUCGCAGAAUGCCUUUUGGUUUGAGGAACGCCGGUGCAACUUUCCAACACCUCAUCAGCCUCAUCCUCAAAGAACAAUUGGGGAGAAACGCCGAAGUCUACGUUGAUGACACCGUCAUCAAAAUUCAAAUUGCGAAGACCCAUUCGAAGGACCUGCAAGAAACCUUCGACAAUCUCCGCAAGUAUGGCAUAAAGCUCAAUCCGGAGAAGUGCGCAUUCAGAGUUCGAGAAGGAAAACUCUUGGGCUUUCUUGUCUCUCAACAAGAGAUCGAGACCAACCUGGAGAAAAUCCGGGCAAUCCUAUAGAUGGAGACUCCUCACUCCGUCAAAGAUGUGCAACGCCUAGCGGGAAGAAUGGCGGCCUUGGGACGAUUCGUCGCCCGGUCAACUGAGAAGGGUCUUCCUUUUUUCAAAGGCUUGAGAAACCUAGACAACUUUGAGAGAACCGACGAAGCUCAAAGGGCCUUCGAAGAGCUCAAGACCUAUUUGUCGACCCCUCCACUUCUCACGAGCCCAAAGCAGGGGGAGCCUUUGCUCCUGUAACUUGCCGCGACCCCGGUCGUCGUAAGUGCAGCACUCAUGAAGGAAGAAGACGGGUUACAACGCCCGGUAUAUUACGUGAGCGAAGCUUUGGGAGGAGCAAAGGGUCGAUACACCCAUAUUGAGAAGAUUGCAUACGCCCUCCUCAUGGCCUCUCGAAAACUCCGUCAUUACUUCAUGGGCCACACCCUCAUGGUGCCAACUACCUUCCCACUCAUGGAACUCUUCAGCAAUAAGGAGGCCACCGGAAAAAUCGCCAAAUGGAGAACGGAAUUGGCUCCCUUCUCGCUGGAACUCACAGCGAGAACGGCCAUAAAAUCCCAAGUCCUGGCUGACUUUGUGGCCGAGUGGCAUGCUCCACUAGCCCCGCCCGAAGAAAUUGCAUCCAAGACCGAGCCCCCAGAACCACAUUGGUUAAUGAGAUUCGAUGGCUCUAAGCGCCUCGACGGUGCGGGGGCUGGAGUCAUACUUAUCAGCCCCGAAGGCAAGAUCUUGGAGUACGCCGCCCAUCUUGACUUCAAUGCCACCAACAAUAUGGCAGAAUAUGAGGCGCUCCUUCUCAGACUUCGAUUAGCCAAGGCCAUGGGAGCCCGACGCCUUCUCAUCCAAGGAGACUCCCAACUGGUGAUAAACCAAAUGGACAAGUCAUAUCAAUGCCUUGAUGAAAGGAUGAAGAAAUAUAUCGAAGAAGUUUGCAAGAUGGAACGGUAUUUCUUGGGCAUGGAGGCGCGACGUAUUCCACGAGGAGAAAAUCACCUGGCCGACAGGUUAGCCCGAACGGCCGGUUCCAAAGAACCGCUGCCGCCCGUUGCAUGCUUCGAAGUAAUUCGCGCCCCAUCGAUAAAGGAAGAAGCCGACGCCCUUGAUGAAGCUUCAAAGACCAGCAUGGUCAUCGACACUCCACCCUCUUGGAUGAUACCGAUUAUCCGCACCUUGAAAGGAGAGGUGGAUCAAGAAGUGGAAGGCCCGAGUGCCAAAACUCUGCUCGCAAAAGCCAAGAUGUACGUCCUGCUCGACGGCAUCCUAUACAAGAAAGGAGCGGCCGCAUUGCUUAAGUGCAUAACUCCUCACUGAGGAGCCGAGCUCCUCAUGGAAAUCCAUUCAGCAAUAUGCGGCCACCAUCUUGCGCCAAGAGCCACCGCGGCAAAAGCCUUACGUCAGGGAUUCUGUCGUCGCACGGGGCUCCGACACUGGGGAUGCGCGAGCACCCCAUUUAUAGGUUCGGCAGUGGGCUACGGGGAUCGCUUCGGCGAUCGCCGGCGGGACCAAUGCGAGGCGUAGGAAUACACCAUGAACGCUACCAAGUGCACAUGCACACACUUUUUACCCCGGUUCGGGCCACCUUGGGGUGUAAAACCCUACGUCCUGCUUGUCUGAGCUUCUAUCACUGUAAAAUCGGCUGUUUACAGGUUGCCGGGGAAGGGUCCCCGGGUGCUCUCUUUUUGGCUAAAUGUUCCUUUCUACUUUGGGCUACUCCAAGUGUUGCGCUACGAGUUGGCUCUGUAAACGAACCAACGAACGAACUGAAUGCCAGAAAAACGAAGCAAAAGCUGAACCCUUUGAUCGUAGGCGAGGUCCUCCUUUUGUAGCCAAGGGGAUACCACAGGUGCCACGGUGCAUGGUUUACAAGUGGCGAGCAAGGAGCUUAGAUAGCUCCCCCUCGGCGUGCUGGCAUGCAUGCAUGAGCGCCAACCCCGCUGCUAGGGGUCUAGAGCCUAACAAAUAGGACUGGACAGCCACUGUUCGCCCGACUAGACGGAUAACGCCCCUUCUGACGGCUCACUAAAUGCGUAGCGCGCUUCACUCCUCGCCCUGGUGGAACUGUUCAUUGGGCGCAUGGCACGCGCCCACGUGGCCCCGCUGCUCCGCUCGCUCGGCCCCGCCCUCAUGGCGGGAACCUACGCCGGGAACCCCUCCUCCCGGCAAGUGACUUCCCGGGAGGCGCCCAGGCGGGAAUAUUCCCCGAAGCCCCGCUAGCCCUUCCGGGCUGGUAGCUUGCUGGGCAGCCUGUACGUUGCCGCCCGGGGUGAGACCCUCUCGGGAACUCAGCGAUGCGACCCACGCGUCGUGCAACGGUGGUACCCCAGGUGCCACUGGUGCGACAGUAGCCCCGGGCGUGGGCCGGCAACACCCGUUCCUGGGCAAACCCUCCCCUGGUUGGUUGCCGGGCUAAGCCCCAACCGACACGUGGGUCCCAACUUGCCUUGGGCCCGCGUCUCUUCGCCAUCCCAGGUAUCCUGCCGUUAUGGACGGAGUAGUGGGUGCGUGAUUCCCGCCGUAACCUCCCCCUUAAACAGGGAAGUUAAGGCCACUCUUCCCAUUAUCCCUUUGAUUAGCAAUUAUCCCAGCGCGCCCGUAGUGUGCGGAACCGGCCGUUACCAAACGGCAGGGUGUUAUAAAGUUUUUUACUACUGCACCGAGGGGAAAAACACUUUGCCCCCAGCCUUCGUCUUCCAAUUUCUUCGCAUCUUGCGCCCAAGAGCUUUGCUAGCUUCUGCCUCCGCUCCCCAUGGCGCCCCCCACCACCAGGAAGGGAAAGGAGGGGAGGCCCCCCAGGAAAGCGGGGGCCAGCAAGAGCGAGGCGGCCGCCAAGGACCAGAAGAAGCGGGCGAUGAGGGCCUCGCUCGCCUUCUACCGGCCGGCUACAAUGGCGAGGUGCUGGCCAAGAUCCAACGCGCUGUUGUCUUUGGGUUCAAUGAGCACGGGGAGACCCUGAUCCUCCCCGCGGGCGCCGACCACCAGGAAAACGACUUCCGGGUGUUCGGGCGCUUCCUCCUCACCGGGCUGGUGCCGCCGUUCUCCCUGUUCCUCCACGCGUUGAUGGAGUCGUACCAGCUGCGGGUGGCACAGCUUCACCCCACGUCGCUCUACCUCCUUGCCACCUUCCAAUUCCUCUACGAAGCAUUUGUCGGGGUGAUGCCGUCGGUGGCACUAUUCCGGCAUUUAUUCUACCCCCGGAUGGAUAACGCGAAUGCGAUGUCGUCGGGGGUGGUGUUCCGCGCCCGCGACCGGAUGAAGUCCGAGUUCAUCGUCUGAUCAGAGAAGAAGAUCGAGAAAGAGUGGCGGGGCGACUGGUGUUGGGUCCGGGUAGAAGACCCUCAGGAGUUCAUCCUCUCACCCUCCGAGCUGCCGCAGCCCCACAGCGGCUGGCGAGACCGGUACACCGCGACGCCGAUCUCCUCCCCAUCGUGGAGAAGAUCAAGACUUUGCGGAUGGCAGGGCUCACCGAUGUUGACGUGGCCCACACCUUCAUCAACCGGCGCGUCGCGCCGCUCCAAUUGUGCUCCCGGGUCGCGUGGAUGUACACGGGUCCUGGGGACAGGACACGCCUCCACCGCGAAAGCGUGGACCGGGAAUCCGUCCAAGUGUGGGUGAAGGGGAUCUCCGGCGAGGAUCUUCCUGCUACGGGGUUCCCACCGGGGGUCAUCUGCCUCCACGCCGGCGUUGCGGGGCUCAACGACAUCGUUGCCUCCUUCCCACCCUGCAACGAGUGGGGAUUAGUGGACGACACCCCCACUCUCGGACCCCGCGCGCUCUCCUGCCAGCAACUCACGGGAAGAAGGUGCUUGAGGAGAGCGGGGGCGAGUCAGAGAUAAGCUGGCCCUCCCUUCGGUCUUCGGACGACGAGGUGAGCCAGCCUGCCAUGCCCCAGGCGGUCGUCCCUGUGGACGACGAUGAGGAGGACAGUGACGACGCGCCCCUGAUUGUGCGACAAUCAAGGGCGUAUGCAGCGGCUGCGGCUACCUCCACAGCAGCCGCGGCGGCAUCCGCCCUAGCGGCGGCUACCAGCUCUGCGGCGACAGCCGCCCUAGCGGCGUGCGCCGGCACUUCGGCGGCGACCGCACCCGUGGCAGUUUCCGGAGCCACGGUGGUGACCACCCUGGUAGCGACCGCCAGCGACCCGGCGGCGGCUAUUUCAGCAGCGGCUGCCACACCGGGGACGGUCCCCGACGUCACGGCGGCCUCAUCGUCAUUGCCCGCGGUGCCCCGGGCCGAGGCACCCCCACGGGCACCCACGGCUCCGCCCGCUCGGGGGGUCUUUCGGGGCUUCGCGCUCCGGCACAAUCCCUCGAGGGCCGACUCGUCGGCGAGCACCAGCAAGAGGGGGAGGGACGACUCCCCGCCUGCCACGCGUAGCAAGAAAGCGCACGUGCAUGCCAGCUGCAUUGCCGGCCCGGUCGGCUCUUGGGCCAGCGGCGCCACCAUCGCACCUGCCGGCGACACAACCCCAACGGAGGAGGCGCCUGGAACAGGUACAACUCUUUCUUGCCUUCUUUCCUUUUACUUUUGAUUGCCAGCUAAUCACGUAACCGAACCUUUUCUCACAGUAGGCGACACUCCGCCCGCACCAAGCCUCCUAGAGACCCCUGCCGGGAUGGAGGAUGGGGGGGAGGCUCCCCCCGCAAGCCCAACGGCCCUGCAAGGUAACCAUACUGAUCCCCCUUAUCCGUCUCCGGGCAACUUUUUAACUUCCCGCUUCUCACACGUCUCGCCGCUGCAGGCCCAAGUGCACCCGCACCGGGAGCGGGUGCUGCCAUGGUUGACCUCGACUCCGACGUCGAGGUCACGGGGGCGGCGGAGGAGCCGGAAGCGGCCCCCGUGCCAAGCCCUGCUGCGCCAGCCAUGACGGCAGCGGUGACCAUCGCCACCACCGGGACGGCGCUCGGCGAUGCACUAGCAGCCGCGGACGCUGCUGGCACGGAUUCUUCUGCUGCCCAGCAGGGGACGGCCCCUGCCGGGGGUGCGGCAGCCGCACCAGCCCUGCAGUCCCCAGGCACGGGUGAGGUUGCCGGAGAGGAGCGACAGGACACUCCGGCACAAGCAGACGACCCCCCCACCCAGCUCCACGGUGGCAGCGGGGGCUUCGUCGUCGUCGGCUGCCUCCUUCAACACCGACCUCGGCACCCUUGCCGGGGUGGCUUGGAAUCCCAUCACCUGGGAUCCGAGCGUCUUCGAGCGAGGGCACCGGUUCCUCGACACCGUGAAGGACCAGCAACUGGUCUUCAUCACCUCCUUCAACGAGGUGAGGGAGCAUCAUGCAAUCGCCAAGAGAUAGCUUGGCGAGCUGCGGCAAGUCGUGGAACAAGAGCGGCAAGAGCUCUCCCGGCUGCGUGAGGAGACGCGCCUUGCCAGAGAGGAGGCGCGCCUUGCCUGGGAGGCCCUGGAGGAUGCCAACACACCGGUCGUCUCGGAAGCAGAGCUCUACCGGUGACUGGAGGCUCAGCACACCGAGCUCCAAAGAGCUCUGGACUUGCAGGUGGCGGCUCAAGCGGAAGCCAAGAAGGAGCACGCCAAGGUGCUCGCUGCCGCCCAGGCUCGGAUCGAUGAGAAGAGCGAUCUGAUCGCCAACUACCGCGGUGAGAUUCAGGGCUUGUGCGUCAAGCUUGAGGUGCAGGUCAAGGCCACCGAAAGCGCGGUGGAAGCAGCGGCCCAGCAUGAGAUUCAGCUCGGCGCCGCCAAGGACAGAGCGGCCUGGCUCAAGACCGAGCUGGCCACUGUCUGGGAGGAGCUUGCCAAGGCCGGCAAGGACAACGCGGCCAAGGCCGCGGAGCUCAUGACGAUGGAGAGCCACCUCCGCAAGGCCAAGAAGGCCGCGCAUGACUCCCGGCUCCACCAUGGCAUGCUGAUCGGGCAGCGGCAGCUGGAGACCGAGAAGCUGCUCAAGAUCGCCCAGGCGCUGCGUAACUUGCUGCCCAGGUUCGAGCUGCAGGCCGCGGCGGUGGACGGCACGGACGUCUCGACGCUGAUCCCGUUCUUCUCCGACCUGGUGGGGAAGCUCGGGGGGCUCGACCUCUGGAUCGCCCAGUUCGGCACCAACGAGGUCCCAACUGUGCUCGGGAGGUUGUCGGGACGAUCCUCCCGAGGAUACAUCUCCGGGACCCGAAGUUUCCGUUCGAGACGCUGCUGGACGCUUGGUCGGAUAGCGAGGACGAACCCACCCACACUCAGGCAGUGCAAGGGUUCAUCGACGAGGUGGUUGAGCGGAUGCAGAGGAAACCGGACCCCGAGCCGUCCCCGGAGCCCCCGGUUGAAGACGCUGGCAACUAGUUGCCGCAGCCUCCUGCUGGCCCCUAUUGCUUUUUGUUUACCUUCUUUUGUUUUCGUCCUGCAAGUGCGGUGCUUCGCGCCGGUUGAACAAUUACAUUUUCAUUAGUUAAUCAAGCUUUUUAGUUCUGCUUAAUCUUUGUUCCUUGUUCCUGGGGCUGCCUCGCGGGGUGGAUCCCUUUGCCUUUGUGCGCUGUGCCUUGUGUUGCCGGGGACUCGCGCGCCUCACUCUUGACCAGACCAGGGACCCGGGACGGACCCGCAGUGCCAACCUGGGGUCAAGCAGUAGCGGUGAGCCACUCCACUUGCGGCGUAACUACUCCAAGCCAUGCACUCCCGGGACGGACCCGGAAGCCGCAUGGGGAGUGCACUCCCCCCGCGAGCGUCCUUCUAACACCCCAGCCACACGCAGGUUCCGGGGGCACCCUUAGCGAGGCAGCGUUCAGUUACGUUCAGUUCUUAAAGAGUUUGUCAUUCAGGUUCAAGCACUUAGCUUUUCAUUUGGUCUCAUGCGCGGAACGUUUGCUUGCUCGCCUGGCAUGCCGCCCUUGAGAAAGCCUGUUUGAGGGAUGCGGCAGGAACACCACGGCAGGAUUGCCGUCGGUGACAAGCGCUGAUGACGAUGCUACCGCCGCGUCUCCGUGGCAACCCUCGCCUUUGGAAAGCCCCCGCUUUCGGAGGAACCUGUUCCGAGGGGUGCGGCAGGGACGUCGUGACUUUCUCGCCACCACCGGCAGACGCGGGCGGCGAGGACAUCACGACGUCCCCGCAACAGCCCUCGCUGCUUGGGAAAAUCUGCCUGAGGGAUGCAGCAGGGACGCUAUGGUGGGCCGGAGCGAACGGUAGACGCCGGCACCGGCAGCAUGCGUGGUGCCCCGCCCCUUGGAGUGCGGUACGACUCCGCCACUCCGCAUGCCAAGCCACUCUGGCACACGUGGCGGCUUCCCCCUGAAUCAGGAGCCUCAAAGUGUGGUCGCUCCGCACCACAAGGCGCUGCUACACGCCACGACUCGAGGGCAGUCCACGGGUAUCAUAGUGCGCAAAAUUCCACCUUUACCCUGCACAUUAGAUUCUUACCAAGCCCAAGAUGCUGCAAUGUUUUUUGAAAUUCACGAAAACACAGAGCAAUAUGGAUAAUCUCCUGCCUCCCAGCACCCGGGCACGGAAGGGUCGAUGGCAAACUUGGGUGUGAGCACUUUAUUUCCCAGACGCAGCGAGUGCGUGGUGCACGUUGCGGGAAGUCCGACAACUGCAUGUCCCGUGCUGGAGCGAUCCGGCAACGGGUUUAUGUUUUCGAGGCUCCGGCAGCCCCCUGCUCACAACCAAAUAUGGAAAGACACUUCUGUGCACCCCAAGUAGGAGACAGAAGAAGGAGGAACAUGCAAAUAAACGAGGCAAUUUUAAAAUUCAGGAAAAAACACUUAUCUUUAUUCACAAUAACUAGUGGUUUACACGCGGGGGUUGCCCGGCUGCACUAGUUUGAGAGGUAUGCAUCGGCGACAUCACCUGUGGGUCGGGCUCCGCCGCUUCACGGGUAGAACUUGCGCAAGUGCUCAAUAUUCCAGCUAUUUUGCACCGGCAAGCCAUCUUUGGUUUCCAGCCGAACAGCCCCGGUCUGGUCACAUGCACUACCCGGAAGGGGCCCUCCCAUUUUGGAGUCAACUUGUUCCCGGCCUUCGUUCCUUGUAUCUGGCACAGGACAAGGUCUCCGUUCUCGAGCCCCCGGGGACGGACUUGUCUGUUGUGAUAACGACGGAGUCCCUGCUGGUAGCGCGCGGCUCGCACAGCAGCCCGGCAUCGAAACUCUUCGAUGAAGUUCAGAUCGUCAACCCUUUGCUCGUGUUGGCUGGAGUUGCCGUACGUGCGUACUCAGGGAGAUCCGUGCUUGAGCUCGAGGGGCAGCACCACUUCUGCCCCGUAGACAAGGGCGAAAGGGGUUUCGCCCGUUGCCCGACUAGGUGUGGUUUUGAUUGACCACAGCACGGGCUGGAGUUCUUCAACCCAGUGUUUCCCGUGGCCUUUGAGCUUGUCAAAGGUUCUCGUCUUGAGCCCCCGCAGCACUUCCGCGUUUGCUCGCUCCGCCUGCCCGUUACUCCUUGGGUGAGCAACAGACGCGAAGUGUAUUUUGGUGCCCAGGCCCUUGCAGUAGUCCUGGAACGCCGUGCUCGUGAAUUGCGUGCCGUUGUCGGUGAUGAUGCCGUUAGGCACCCCAAACCGGCACACAGUUGUCUUGAAGAACUUGAUGGCCGCCUGGGCGGUCACAAACUGCUCGCGCAGGUCCGCCCAAGUGGCGAUGGACCCGGCAGGCAGGUUGAGCAGCCAGGUUCUCGCUGAUCCUUUCAGGACCAUCGGGAACCAGUUGGUUCUGACCUUGUCGUCAGCGCCGAUGGCGUGCAUCCCCAACGUGUAGGUUAGGAGGAAGGAAAUCCUCGGGAUUUACGGUCCCAUCGUACGUACCGAGUGCGGGCGCUCGGAACUUGCGGGGCCAUGUCACCUGCUGCAGUUCGCGCGUGAACGCGGUGCAGCCAUCCUCAGGACCCAUAGGAGCAUCUUCCUGCUCCUGCGGGCGUGGGCGCUCUACCUCGCGCCGACGCCGGCGCUCCAGGCGCGGGCGCAGAUCCUGUUGCUGGCGGGCAUUCAAAAUACCACGCGCGUUACCUCGCGUGACGGUGGGUGACGAGUCCGAGGACCCCUCUGGGUCCCCGUCCCCGUGGCCUCCCCGCAAGGGAGGGUCUUCCCCUCGUCGCGAGGCGCGGGGCGCGUCUCCGCGCUCCGGGUUCUGCCCGUGGCCGGAGCCUGCCGGGACGCCCUCGCCCUGCGGCUGUUGGGUGGCGAGCGCGAGGAGCGCGUCCAACUCCUCGCCCCAUGUCUCGUGCGCCGGCGUGCCCUCCUGUGGUUCGUACCGCACCAUGACGCGCGCGGCGAUGAUGGCCUCCACCGGGGUCCGCGCGACUGCCCUCCACCUUAUCCCCAGACGUACCCGGGUGCGUGGGGUGCGACCCCGCCGGCAUCGCUCGCGACGCAGUAUGCUCGUGGCGCAGCGGAUGCUGCGCGCCUUCAGCCCGCGAUUCGACUCACUGGCCGGCGUGGGCGGCACCACGUCCGCUCGCAUGGCCGGUCAUCUGCUGAUGGCCGAGGAGGCGGGGGUGGCAACUGCAAUUGCUGCACUCGUGAGGGUUCAGGAUUUUCCUGAACCCGCGACGCGGGCUGCGCAUCGUGCGACCGCGUGUGCGCCGCUGGGGCCUCACGCAGGUCGAUCCGAGGAUCACUAGCCCGCUUGGGGGGCAUGGUGGUCGGCUCUAUCGUUGAGGAGGACGAGGCCAAUGUUGGUGUAGACGCUGCCGCCGGCAGUCACCGGCAAGCUCUCCUCACGCGCCCCCUACCUGGCGCGCCAGAUGUCGUCGCACGGGGCUCCGACACCAGGGAUGCGCGGGCACCCCUUUAUAGGUUCGGCAGUGGGCAACGGUGAUCGCUCCGGCGAUCACCGGCAGGACCAAUGCGAGGCGUAGGAAUACACCAUGAACGCUACCAAGGGCACAUGCACACACUUUUUACCCCGGUUCGGGCCACCUUGUGGUGUAAAACCCUACGUCCUGCUUGUCUGAGCUUGUAUCACUGUAAAAUCGGCUGUUUACAGGUUGCCGGGGAAGGGUCCCCGGGUGCUCUCUUUUUGGCUAAAUGUUCCUUUCUACUUCGGGCUACUCCCAGUGUUGCGCUACGAGUUGGCUCUGUAAACGAACCAACGAACGAACUGAAUGCCAGAAAAACGAAGCAAAAGCUGAACCCUUUGACCGUAGGCGAGGGUCCUCCUUUUGUAGCCAAGGGGAUACCACAUGUGUCACGGUGCAUGGUUUACAAGUGGCGAGAAAGGAGCUUAGGUAGCUCCCCCUCGGCGCGCUGGCAUGCAUGCAUGAGCGCCAACCCCGCUGCUAGGGGUCUAGAGCCUAACAAAUAGGACUGGACAGCCACUGUUCGCCCGACUACGGAUAACGCUCCUUCUGUCGGCUCACUAAAUGCAUAGCACGCUUCACUCCUCGCCCUCGUGGAACUGUUCAUUGGGCGCAUGGCACGCGCCCACGUGGCCUCGCUGCUCCGCUCGCUCGGCCCCGCCCUCACAGCAGGAACCUGCGCCCGGGAAACCCUCCUCCCGGCAAGUGACUUCCCGGGAGGCGCCCAGGCAGGAGUAUUCCCUAAAGCCCCGCUAGCCCUUCUGGGCUGGUAGCUUGCCGGGCAGCCUGUACGUUGCUGCCCGGGGUGUGAUCCUCCCGGGAACUCAGCGAUGCAACCCACGCGUCGUGCAACGGUGGUACCUCGGGUGCCACUGGUGCAACAGUUCUAUUGGCCUACCAUGGUGCAAGACGCAAUCAUCAUAUUGCGGAAAUGCGAAGUUUGCCAGAAUAUGGCUAAGUCAAACCAUGCGCCCGUGGCUUCCCUGAAGAAUAUCCCGAUAACAUCGCCAUUUGCAUGCUGGGGAAUGGACCUUCUCGGGCCUUUCCCCGCAUGCAAUGGGGGCUGCAAGUACCUCGUGGUGACGAUUGAUUACUUCUCCAGAUGGAUAGAACCAGCGCCGCUUGGCAAGAUCACGUCACAGGCCGUUCAGAAUUUUUUCUAGGAAAACAUCAUAUGCCGAUAUGGCGUCCCACGAGAGCUAACCGUGGACAACGGCAAACAGUUCGACUGUGCGGAAUUCAUCAAAUCCUGUGAAUGCCUUGAGAUCAAGCUGCACUUCGCAUCCGUAGCCUACCCCAAGAGCAACGGUGCAUGCGAAAGGGCAAAUGGACUAAUCCUCCAAGGACUCCAUCGAAGGAUAGAGCACACGGUUAGCAAAGCAAGAGGAGCAUGGGGAGAUGAACUCGCUAGCGUGGUUUGGGGCAUACGCACAUCCAUUAGCCGUUCCACGGGCCGAACACCAUUCUCUUUGGUGUAUGGAGUCGAAGCAGUUCUUCCCGCCGAGGUCGAGUUCCGCUCACGUCGGGUCGAAAGGCUCCAAGAAGCCACCCCAAUUGCCUUCAUCGAAAAUGAAGAGCAUCACAAGACGACCAUCGAUCUUGUGGAAGAAGCUCGUGACAAAGCCCUCAUGAGGCACGCCGUCUACGACCAAAGCGCCGCACGCUUGUACAACACAAGGGUGAGGGAACGAGCCUUCUCCCAAGGAGAUCUCAUGCUGAAAAAGAACGUCGACCCAAAGCUCCAGCGCAAACUCGACCCUACAUGGGAAGGACCAUACCGCAUCGCCGUAGUAUUGGGAAAUGAUGCAUACCACCUCGAGAAUAUGGAAGGACAAAACCUUGUCCAUGCCUGGAAUGGCGACAAGCUUCGGCAUUUCUACGCCUAAGGAGGAACUUCAAGGGCAAUUCUUGCCGCUCCCAAAAGAAGACUAUCAGCGCCCAACCGGCCUUUUCCCUACGAAACUUCGAGGGAUCGUAAUCGCCAAUGAGGCCACGUCUACAUAAGGCUUGUAAGUGCCCAUCGGGGCAUACCUUAAGACAGGGAAGUAAGGAUCAAUAAAGUAAGUUCUUGAGGAAAAUUUAAGAGUGACACGAGACACUCACAUGACUCAUCGUCGUAACAAAGCCGCUACCCCUGUGCCGCUCACCGAGGAACACGGAAAGGCCUCCGUUGGCCCGAGCAUCCUCUAAAAAUGUCCACAGACAUAGGUUGCUACUAGCGACUCGUUCCUUGGUGGAUCCUAGCGUGCCUCAAGGCCAUCCACCAAGUAGAACCAAGUCCCCCGAGGGCCGGAAGUUCCUUAAAACGCAUUUAAGGGGAACCGUAAAUAAGCGAGUUAUGCAUAAGCUUACUUACCUCGGAGAACCAUGCUACCCGUAUGCGAGACGUCGCGCACGGGUCUGCAUGAUAGUAAUCGGGUUAAGGCUCCAUAAUAAUCGUGGGAAAGCAUAGCUUCUUAAAGUCCGAGGAGGGAAAAUUCCAUAUGAAAUUUCCCGAACGGCAUGUCGAAAUGUCCGGAUCACUACCGCCAUAUCGAUAGCGACCCUCACAAGGGUACUAGGACCCAUGGCUCGUAACCAUGGCCUAAGGCGCCGAAGCCGAGUCGUAUCCAAACGGCGACAUCAAUUGAUAACACAAAAGUGUAAUCAUAGCGAACGAUCGCGAGCUGUAUAAACUGAGGAAAUAUAGUACUUCACAAGAAGGAAAUAUAGUACUCCAAGAAAGACAUGUUGAGCCAAGUUAACAUUUCCGAUAAUGUCGACUACGUGGUGAAACAUGAGAAAUACAUGCUGAGCUAAGUUAACAUUUCCGAUAAUGUUGACUACAUAAUGAAGCAUGAAUCACAACAAAAAAGCUCCCUAACAACCUGUACGACCAAAAGCCUAAACAUGCUAGCCAUGAAGCUAAGUCAAGUGGAGAUAUGCAACAUCGCAUAAGUAAACUGCUGAGGUACAUCACCACCUCCGAGGGCGACGAGGCUCAUACCUCACCGUCACCCUCCUGAAGUGCGGGCUCGAGGCAACGCACGAAGCGUCGAGCCUGAGCGCGAAGAGGAGCACCCUGGUCCGCCAGAAACUUCUUCGCCCCUUGAGACAUCUCACCCUCAAGUCUGCUCAUCCCGGCACUGCCUCCAGGACUGCCGCACCCGCCGAUGAAACAAGUCGAGCACCCGUAUUCAGGAGGCACUUCUUCACGGUAGGCUCAAUGAGCUCCACCUGGGAAGUAAGCACCCUGCUCGCCUCAUCCACCGUACGACACGGAGGAAGAUCCGGCUUGGAAACACUCCUCAAGAAAAUCAUCGUCUCCCGAAUCUCGGUGGCCUGAGCAAGUAAAAGCGAGAUCAGGUCGGGACGGCGAUCCGGAGGAGGGCGACCACGAGGAGCAAGCAUCGGGCCAUCACCCGCUGCUGCUAACUCCACCUUGAGGGAAGCAGCCUCCGCACGGGCAUGCUCCCUAUCAAGGUUGGCCACCACCAAGUCCUCCUCAACUCGACGGGUCCUCGCGAUCUCGUCCUUCUAGCCGGCCUGGCUACAACGGCGAGCUCUGCCAAAACGUGGGAAAGCUCAGCCUCCACGGCCUCAUGCCGCACCCUCUCUGAAGCCAACUCACUCAAGGCAAGGGUAGACUUGGACAUCUCCACGUCCAAAGCAGCAGAAAGCGCCCCCACCUGAGUCUUGAGGGCAGGAAGGGCACCCACGGCCUCGACCAAACCCCUCACCUACGAGGAAGGUGGAGUUAGCACAAAGAAAACCCGAAGGACCAAGGGAGACAUGUCACGGACGCUCACCAGCUCCAGUGUCACGAGAGGAUCUCUCGCUCCAUCCUCGGUCAUCGGAAGUGCUCCGUCCGUCACUUGAGUCGGGGGCUCGCCCUCAGGAACCCCGGGCUCCGCGACUCUCGCACCUAAAACAAACCAAGGAAAUCAUCAGGGGCGGGCCUACGGCCCGUGCUACCCGGGCUGUAGCACGGGUCUAGCCCAAGUGAAGAACACAGCAGACAUGAUAAGCCCAGCCUGGCAGCCCCCCCAAGGCCCAGCCGUCCGUGCAGCCCAGUAGGCCGAAGUGACCGCUUGGUGUCUCCCUUGCUCGACGCGUAUCGAUCAAUCCUGGCUCUCGCCGUUCCGCUAUGUUGGUCACCAAAAAUCCUACUGUAGCUCGCUCGUUAGGUUUGGGAAAAAAAAUCUCCACACCCAAAUAGAUACUUUUGGUUUGCUGAUUCAUUUCAAAACAUCUUUGAUUGGUAUUUAUCUAAGAAAAAAGGUACUCCCUUCGUUUCAUAAUUUUUGUCUCAAAAUUGCCCAAAAAAUUGAUGUAUCUAUUUCUAAAAAGCGUCUAGAUACAUGUAAUAUUCGACAAGAAUUGUGGAACGGUGGGUUUAUUUAUCUAAGAAAAAUGUAUUUUUGUAUGUCUUUAGACUUUUUUGGAGACUAAUGGUGUUUGGGCCGAUGAGUUCAUGCUUUUGCUACCGUAAAUUUCAUUGUCAUCUAACAAAAAUUUAGUUUGUCAUAAGUUAGCCCCCUCCUUCAUUCAUUCCCGGGUCCGCCACUGGAAAUCAUGUCAAAAUCUUCAGAAAAAGAACGUCAUGACCAAAGAAAAGGGCACUCACCCGAGGUAGGAGCAUCCUCCUCGGGACGCUCGUGACCAAUGGAGAACACCUGGAUGCCCGCACUACUAGCUCCGGUCGACAACUCCACCACUGAGUCGCUCCGAAGCCGAAGCCCCGUCUCGCGAGUGAAAGCCUCAACCUCGUGGCUUGAAGGAGGAAGAACUUGCUCAAGUACAAUCUUCUCCUUCAUGUGCAGAUCCAAGGUCACUCUCAGGGGGGACCUUGACUCACCCACGACGGGAUCCGCCGAAUCCGCCAGGGCGUAGUCAAGAGAAGGAGAAUGAGUCGGGGGAGCUUUCCUCUUGCAUCCACUCGACAGACGAGGCACCUUGGGGACCGGCAUGACAGGCACCGCCAGGCCCAACACCGCCAUUCCCGCCUUCACCUUCCCGCAAGAGUCCCGCAACUUGGACCCCACCACCAACAUUGACGGUGUCGCCAAGCGGGAGUAGCGAUCGCCCACUCAGAGAAGGCGACCAAGCUUCGGGUCCUGUCGCAUCGGCACCAUCUUCCCGAAGCACUUCGCGAUGAUGUUGUGGCAUCCCCCACUGCUGAUCUUGGUCUCAUAGUCGUGAUGCUCCGGCCCGCCAUACGGACCUAUCAGCUGCGCGGCCCACAACGCCGCCCUCUCCUCGGAAAAUGUCGCUGAAAAAAGACAAGCCAAAAUUGUUAAGUAUAUCCGCAAGGAAAAAACAAUUGAAGCACAAAGGGAAGAGGAGUGGCACUCACGAGCGGUGACAAGCUAUGGAGAACAGAAAGAUCGAGGGAUCCCAAUCUCGGACCUCGGACGACUCCUCAUCAUAAAGCGCCCCGCCAUCACCAUCUCCUCCAUGAGGUCAUGAAAGCUCCUCUCGGCGGACACCUCCUUGAUCUUGGCCACCUUCCAGAGGUUGGCUGACCGAGGCUCCUCGAGGUGAGGCACCUCCCUAAGGCCUCCUGCCCCAGAGUGCCGAGGGAGAUCACCCAUGUGCCGAAGACGGGUCUUCGAGGCCCGAAGGAAAAACCACCGGGACUCCCACGUGACGAACAACUUCUCCGUGCUCUUCCCCGGCAUGAGCAGGAAGUCGUCCCCAAAGCCGGAACGAAGCAUCAGGAUCACCGAACCAAAGGCGCUCAGAGCAAAGCCGUCCGGAGUGAGCAACUCCAUCACCUCCCGGUGAAGUAGAACAGCAGAAGCUUCAUCAAAGGCUCCUGGUGAAGAGCCGUCUCACACAGCCACCUGAAAACGUUCAACCUCACGAUCAUUGACGAGUAAAGCUGGGCCAACUCGAUGCCGUACGUCUCCAGGAACUCCAACAAGAAGGGGUGAACGGGCACACACAAGCCGGUGUGAAACCAAGCCGAGAAUGCCACGAUGCAUCCCGGACGCCGCCGCUGGUCGAGCCUAACCUCCUCUCCAUCGAGCAGGAUACCGUCCCCCUUGGGGAAGUAUCCUGCUUCCUCUAGCUAGGCGAGAUCCUCGGGGCUCAUCGAAGAAGGAAGAAGGUGGUCAUGUGCCCAACCUCCGCCGUACACCGGCGCAGUCGGAACAGGGGGAGGACCGCCACAAGGGCGGAAGGAGACCUUCUUCUUCCGCGACGGUCGGUUCGCCGCAAGCUGCGCCAUGAACCCCUUGGAAGACCCUCACGAUGGCUCACCGGCCGGACGCUCGACAUCGAGUCCCGCCAUCUCACCUGCAAAAAGAUCCGCCAAGAAUUAGCAAAGUGCGGAAAAAUUCCGAAAGGAGUCGACCAAAAAAAGGAGGAGCCAAGCUCGUCGGGCCGAGACGCCCAGCCACAUCGCCAAAGCAAAAAAAAAGGAGCCGAGCCCCUCAGGCCACCCGGCCUUGUCGUCGCACGGGGCUCCGACACCGGGGGCGUGCGGUCACGCCCCUUUUUUAGGUUCGGCAGGGGCGUCGGGGAUCGCUCCAGCGAUCGCCGGCAUGGCCGAUGGGCCUACGCAACCUGCAAAGUAAUGUACACCGGAUGCAUGCAAGCUAAGAACACAUGCACACACGUUUUUACCCAGGUUUGGGCCACCCGGAGGUGUAAAACCCUACGUCCUGCCUGCCUGAACUGGUAUUGACUAUAGAUCAAGUGUUUACAAGUUAACGGGGGGAGGGUCCCCGGGCGUUCUCUUUCUGGCUAUGUGCUCUUCACUGCUUUAGGGUACUGCUAAUGGCUAAGUGUGAGUCCAUUUAUCCGUCAGAUUGUGGAACCGUGGAACCCCUUGACCGCCGGCGGGGGUCCUCCUUUUAUACUGAACGGGAUACCACAGGUGCCGCGGCACAUGCAUUACAAGUGUCGAUCAGGGAGACAUGCAACUCCCCCUCGGUGAGCUGGUGGCGUGCAUGGGUGACAACCCGCUGCUAGGGGUCUAAGACCCUAGAGGUAGGAUUGGACAUCCACUUUUCACCUGAUUUGGACGGGUAACACCCCUCCUGUCGGCUCAUUUAAUGCGCCGUGCGCCUCACUCCUCACCCUAGUGAGACUGCGCACCCGACGCCCGUCACACGCCCGCGUGGCGCUGUUGCUCUGUCCGCUGAGCCCCACCUUUGUGGCAGGACCUGCGCCCGGGAACUCCUCCUCCCGGCAAGUCACUCCCCGGGAAGCGCCCAGGCCAAACACACCCGGGAACCCCCCUCCCGGGAUGCGGCUUCCCGGGAGGUGUCCAGGCGGGAAUAUUUCCCGAAGCCCCACUAGCCCUUCCUGGCUGGUAGCUUGCCGGGUUGCUCGUGGCUGCUGCCCGGGACGAGAUCCUCCCGGGAACUCAGAGACGGGGCCCACGUGUCGCGCAACGGUGGUACUCCUGGUGCCACGGGUGCGACAGUAGGCCCCGGGCGUGGGCCGGCAUCACCUGUUCCCGGACGAGCCUUCCCUAGGUCAGUUGCCGGGCUACGCCCACAACCGACGCGUGGGCCCUGAUUCACCUCGGGCCUGCGUCCCUUCGUUGCCCUAAUACCACGCCGUUACAGACGGAGUAAUAGGCGCGUGAUUUCCACCCUAACCUCCCCCUUAAACAGGGAAGUUAAGGCCACUCCGCGCAUUACUCCUUUUGAUUAGGAGUUAUCCCCGCGCACCCGUAGGGUACGGAACCGGCCGUUACCAAACGGCCGGGUGUUAUAAAGAUUUUACCACUGCCCAAAAGGGGAAAGCACUCUAUUCCCCACGGCCUUUGUCUUCACCCUCCUUUCGCACCUCGCAUCCAAUUGUUCUUGCUAGCUUCCACCUUCGUCCCCCAUGGCGCCCCCCACCACCAGGAAGGGAAAAGAGGUGCAGGUCUCAAAGAGAGCGGCAGCCAGCAAGAGCGAGGCGGCAACCAAGGCAGCCGCCGUCAAAGACCAGAAGAAGCAGGAGAUGCGGGCCACGCUCGCCUUCUACCGGCCUGGCUACAACGGCGAGGCGCUGGACUACAUCCGACAUGCUGUCGCCUCCAAGUUCAACGAGCACGGGAAGACCCUGAUCUUCCCAGCGGACGCCGAGCACCAGGACAAGGACUUCUGGGUGUUCAGGCGCUUCAUCCUCACCGGGCUGGUGCCGCCGUUCUCGCCCCCCACGCACUGAUGGAGUCGUACCAGCUGCAGGUGGCACAGCUCCACCCCACAUUGCUGUUCCUCCUCGCUACCUUUCAAUUCCUCUGUGAAGCGUUCAUGGGGAUGAUGCCGUCGGUGGCGCUCUUCCGCCACUAUUUCUACCCCCGGAUUGACAACACGAAAGCGAUGUCGUCGGGGGUGGUAUUUCGCGCCCGCGACCAGAUGAAGUCCGAGUUCAUCGUCCGGUCGGGAAAGAAGAUUGAGAAGGAGUGGCGGGGUGACUGGUGCUGGGUCAGAGUGGAAGACCCCCAAGAGUUCAUCUUCUCGCCCACAGAGUUGCCGCAACCCCACAGCGGCAGGCAAGACAGGUAUCACCGCGACGCCGAUCUCCUCCCCAUCAUGGAGAAGAUCAAGGCGCUGCGGCUAGCGGGGCUCACCGACGUGGACGUGGCGCGUACCUUCGCCAACCGGCGUAUUGCGCCGCUCCAACUACGCUCCCGGCCCACGUGGAUGUACACGGGUCCCGGGGAUAGAACACGCCUCCACCAGGACGGCAUGGAUUUGGAAACCCUCAAGACGUGGGUGAGGGGAAUCUCCGGCGAAACCUUCGAAUCAACGAGGUUCCCGCCGGGGGUCUUCUCCCUCCAUGCCGGUGUUGCGGCGCUCAACAACAUCGUCACCGCCUUCCCGCCCUGCAACGAGUGGGGGUUGAUGGAUGAUAGCCCCACUCGGGCCCUGCACGCUCCCCUACCAGCACCUCGCGGGAAGCAGGUGCUCGAGGAGAGUGGGGGCGAAUCCAAGACCAGCUGGCCCUCCCUCCAGUCGCUGGACGAAGAGGUGGGCCAGCCGGCGGCGUCCCAGGAAGUCAUCCCAGUGGACAACGAUGACGACGACAGUGACGACGCGCCCUGAUCGUGCGAAGAUCAAGGGCGUACGCUGCGGCUGCGGCCAUCUCCUCGGGUGCCACGGCGGCAUCUUCCCUAGCGGCGAUAUCCGCCCUGGCAACGGCCGCCCGCCGGUACCUCGGCCGCGACCACGUCCGCAGGGGCCGCCGGAGCCUCGGGGCGGCGACAUCCGCCCCAGUGGCGGCUGCCAGCGUCGCGGCGGCAGCUGCUCCGGUGGCGUCUGCUGAUGCCCCGUCGGGGACCAUCCGCGAUCCGGCAAUGGAUUCAGCAGCAACAGCCGCCGGGGAUGCGCCGGCCGCCUCCCUGGGGUCGGCCCCUGACGCCGUGGCAGCCCCGCGGGCCCCUACGGCGCCGCCCGCUCGGGGGGUCUUCCGGGGCUUCGCGCUCCGGCGCAACCCCCCGAGGACCAACUCGUCGGCGAGCACCAGCAAGAGGGGGAGGAGUGACUCCCCGCCCGCUACGCCGAGCAAGAGGGCGAGCGCGGACGCCGGCGGCGCCGCUGACCCGACCAUCACAGGGGCUAGUGGCGCUGUCAUCGCGCCCGCCGACAACCCAGCUCCAACGGGGGCGGGGCCUGUGACUGGUACGGCUCCUUCGCUCCUCCUCUGCUGCAUUUUUUAGUUGUUAGUUAACCAUACAAACAUACCUUCUUUUUCAGCAAGCAGCAGCUCACCCGUGGCAGGCCUCUCGGAAGCUCCCGCCGGCACGAGUGAGGCGGCGGAAGCCCGCCUCGCAAGUCCACCUGCCCUGCAAGGUAAUCGCUCUGGCUACCCUUGUCCGCUCUCGAUAACUCUUUUACUUGUCCAUCGUCACAUUCUUUGUUGCUGCAGGCCCAAACGCGCCCGUAUCGAGAGCGGACGCAAACAAGGUUGAUCUCGACUCCGAUGUCGAGAUCACGGGGGCGGUAGAGGAUCCGGCGUCAGCUCCCGCACCAGGCCCUGUCGCACCGGCGACAGCGGCAGUGGUGGCCACCGUCACCACCGAGACGGGGCUUGGCGACGCGCCAGGAGUUGCGGAUGCAGCUGGCGCGGACUCACCUGCCACCCAGCAGGGAAUGGCCUCUGCCAAGGGCAAGGAGGCUUCUCCAGCCCCGGGGUCCCCGGGCGUGGGUGAAGGGGGAGCCGUGGAGAGGGAACGGCAAGAGCUCUCCCGGCUGCGCGAGGAGACGCGCCUCGCCAGGGAGAAGGUGCGUCUAGCCCGGCAAGCCCUGGAGGACGCCGAGGAACCGGUCGUCCCGGAGGCCGAACUCCACCAGCAGCUGGAGGUCCAGAGCACGAAGCUUCAGGGAGAGCUGGACUCGCUGGCGGCAACCCUCGAGGCGACCAAGAAGGAGCACGCCGGGGUGCUCGCGGCGGCACAGGCCCGGCUAGACGAGAAGAGCGACCUGAUCGCCAGCUACUGCGGCGAGAUUCAAGGCCUUCGCGUCAAGCUGGAGGUGCAGGUCAAGGCCACCGAGGACACGGUGGGAGCUGCGGCCUGGAACGAGAUCCAGCUUGGCUCCGUCAAGGACAGAGCGGUUAGGCUUGAGACCGAACUGGCCGCUAUUCGGGAGGAGCUCGCCAAGGCCGGCAACUACAUUGCGGUCAAGACCGUGGAGCUUGCGGCACUGGAAGACAACCUCCGCAAGGCCAAGAAGGCCAUGCACAACGCUUCGCUCCCUCACGGCACGCUGAUCAGGCAGCGGCAAUUAGAAACCGAGAAGCUGGUGAAGAUCGCCCAGGCAUUGCGCGACUUGUUGCCCCGAUUCGAGCUGCAGGCCGCGACGGUGGACGGCUCGGACGUCUCCACCUUGAUCCCUUCUUCUCCCACCUGGUGGGGAAGCUUGGGGCUCUCGAUGUCUGGAUCGCCCAGUACGGUGCCAACGAAGUCGCCAACUGCGCCCCGGAGGUUGCCGGGACAAUCCUCCUGAGGACACACCUCCGGGACCCGGGGUUUCCCUUCGAGUCCCUGCUGGACGCCUGGUCGGACAGCGAGGACGAGCCCACGCACACCCAAGCGGUGCGCGGGUUCGUCGACGAGGUGGUCGAGCGGAUAUAGCGGAAGCCGGACCCCGAGCCGAAGAUGCCGGCAACUAGUUGCCGCAGCCCCUAGCCGUCCUUGCUGCUUUCCGAUGUAUCUCCUUUUGCUUGCUUUUUCCUCCAAGUGUGGCGUUUGGCGCCGUUGGAACAAUUAUUUUGUAAUUAGCUUAUGUAAUCGCUCAACACUUACUUAAUCAAGCUCUUUAAUUCGCUCAAUUCUUGUUCCUUGUUCCCGGUGCUGCCUCGCGGGGCGACUCCCCUAGCCUUUGCGUGUUUUGCCUUGUGUUACCGGGGACUCACGCGCCUCACCCUUGACCAGACCAGGGACCCGGGACGGACCCGUAGUGCCGACCUGGGGUCAAGUGGUAGCGGGGAGCCACUCCACUUGCGGGGUAACUACUCCAAGCCGUGCCCUUCCGGGACGGACCCGGGAAGCCACACGGGCAGCGCACUCCCCCCGCAAGCAUCCUUCUAACACUCCAGCUACGCGCAAGGUUCGGGGCCACACCUGGCGAGACAGCGUUCAAUUACGUUCAAUUCUUAGUGGGUUCGUCAUUUAGGUGUCAGUACUUAGCUUUUCGUUCAGUCUUGCGUCCGAAGCGUUCACUGGAGGCGCACUCCUAGCUCGUUAUCCCUGCAAAGUGCCUGACAAAGGGAAGUAGCAGAGACGCCGCGGCAACCCUCGCCCUUCUCCGAGGGGUGCAGCAGGGACACCAUGACUUCCUCGGCACCACCGCUGACCGCGGGCGACGAGGACGUCACGGCGUCCCCACAGCGGCCCUCGCUGCUUGGAACAAACCCGUCUGGGGGCUGCAGAAGGGACAUCGUGGCUUCCUCGCCGCCACCGCCGAAAGCGGGCGGCAAGGAUGCCACAAUGUUCCCGCAGCAGCCCUCGCUGCCUGAGAGCAAAACUGCUCGAGGGCCGUGGCAGGGACGCGGUGAUGGGCCGGAACGGACGGCGAACGCCGGCACCGGCGCCAUCACAGCGUCCUCGCAACGACCUGCGCCUAUAGAGGGGCUCUCUUAGGGGAAUACGGCAGGGACACUAUGAUGGUGCACCCGUUGGUAGGAGGCACCGAUGGCAUGCACCACCAUAGUGUCUCCGCGGCAGCCCUUGCUCCUUGCGGAGGUGUCCUCUGGAGGGAUGCGGCAGGGGCACUGCGGUAGUGCACCCGUCGGCGCCGGGCGCCGAUGGAAUGCACCACCACAGUGCCUCCGCGGCAGCCCUCUCCCAGGAGCCGCUCACUUGAGGAGGCACGGCAAGGGCACGGUGGCAGUGCACCCGUCGACGCGGGGCGCUGAUGGCAUGCACCACCACCGUGUCUCUGCGACGCCCCUCGGAGCGGGCUCGAUGGAACGAUGCGGCAAGGGCGUGAUGGCAGUGCACCCGUCGGCGCUAGGCACUGAUGGUAUGCACCCCCAUCGUGCCUCCACGGCACCGCCCGCCUUAACAGCCCCUUUCUCAGCUUCGCUCUGAGCCGUUCCAUGGCUGGGGCGCGCCUUUUAUAGGCGCGGGGGAGGAGCUUGCCACCGCGCGCGACGGAUCAGCGCAGCACCCGUGGCAUCCCUUCCUUUGAAAUGUGGUACAGUCUUCGCCACCCUGCAUGCCAAGUUGCUGUGACACACGUGGCGGCGCCCUCCCGAGUCAGGAGCCUCGGAGUGCGGCGAGUCCCUCAUGGUGCGGUCGUUCCGCACCUCAAGGCGCUGCUGCAUGCGGCGACCCGUGGGCAGCCCACGAGUAAUACAGUGCGCAAGAUUCCACUCUUUUCUGCAGAUUAGAUUCUUGCCAGGCCCGAGGUGCUGCAAUUUUUUUUCGAAAUUCACGAAAACACGCGAAAACACAGAAAGCAACACGAGUGAUCUCCUGCCUCCCAGCCCCCGGGCACGGAAGGGUUGAUGCCAAACUUGGAUGCGAGCAUUCUAUUUCCCAGCCGGGGUGCAUGUUGCGCGGAGCCUAGCAACUGCGUGUCCCGUGAUGCACAUUGCGGGUAACCCGGCAACUGCAUGUCCCAUGAUGCACGUCGUGGUUAACCCAGCGACUGCAUGCCCCGUGGCGGAGUGACCCGACAACGGGGUUUUCGCUUUCGAGGCUCCAGCAGCCCCCUGCUCACAACCAAGUAUGGAAAGACACUUUCGUGCACCAAAAGCAGGAGACUGAAGAAGGGGGAAACACACAAAUAAGCAAGGCAACUUUAAAGUUCAGGAACGAAACACUUAUCUUUAUUCACAAUAACUAGUGGUUUACACACGGGGGCUGCCCGGCUACGCUAGUUCGAGAGGUAUGCAUCAGCGGCAUCACCUGAGGGUCGGGCUCCGCCGCUUCACGGGUAGAACUUGCGCAAGUGCUCAAUAUUCCAACUAUUUGGCACUGGCAAGCCAUCUUCGGUUUCCAGCCGGAUAGCCCCCGGUCUGGUCACCUGCACUACCCGGAAGGGGCCAUCCCAUUUCAGAGUCAACUUGUUCCCGGCCUUCAUUCCUUGUAUCUGGCGCAGGACAAGGUCUCCGUUCUCGAGCCCCCGGGGACGGACUCGCUUGUCGUGGUAACGACGGAAUCCCUGCUGGUAGCGCGUGGCUCGCACAGCAGCCCGGCAUCGAAGCUCUUCGAUGAAGUUGAGAUCGUCCACCCUUUGCUCGUGUUGGCUGGUGUUGCCGUACGCGCGUACUCGGGGAGAUCCGUGCUUGAGCUCAAGGGGCAACACCGCUUCUGCCCCGUAGACAAGGGCGAAAGGAGUUUCGCCCAUUGCCCGACUAGGUGUGGUCCUGAUUGACCAUAGCACGGGCUGGAGUUCUUCAACCCAGUCUUUCCCGUGGCCCUUGAGCUUGUCAAAGGUUCUCGUCUUGAGCCCCUGCAGCACUUCUGCGUUGGCUCGCUCCGCUUGCCCGUUCCUCCUCGGAUGAGCAACGGACGCGAAGUGCAACUUGGUGCCCAUGCCCUCACAAUAGGCCUGAAACAUUGUGCUCGUGAACUGCAUGCCGUUGUCGAUGAUGAUGCCGUUAGGCACACCAAACCGGCACACAAUGCUUUUGAAGAACUUGAUCGCCGCCUGGGCGGUCACCUUCUGCACUGGUUCCACUUCUACCCACUUGGAGAACUUGUCGAUGGCCACAAACAAAUAUUCGUAACCACCAACCGCUCUCAGUAGCUUGCCGACGAUAUCGAGCCCCCAGACCGCGAACGGCCACGAGGAAGGGAUGACGUGUAGGGCCUGCGCCGACUGGUUGCUCUUCUUCGAGUGGAACUGGCACGCUUCGCACGUCUUCACCAGCCGCUCUGCGUCGGCCAGGGCCGUGGGCCAAUAGAAACCGUGCCGAAACGCCUUGCCGGCUAAGGCCCGGGAGGCCACAUGGUGUGAACAUGUGCCUCGGUGUAUCUCCUCCAGCAGCGCGCGGCCUUCGUCUUGCGGCACGCAGAUGAGCUUGACCCCGUUUGCUCGCCUGCGGUAGAGGUUCCCAUCCACCACAGUGCACAUUUUGGCUUGCCGCACUACUCGCUCCGCGGCAACGUCAUCUUCCAGGAGAGCCUCCCCUUUCAAGUAACGGGCGAUUUCCACCGCCCAGGGAGGGAUCUCCCUGCCAACGCAUGCCGCUAUAUCAGCGGCAUGGACCCCUGAUGUUGCGGGGGUUCCUUCGGUUGCCGGAGGGGCGUCCCCGGCAGCCGGCUCGGGGGCGACUGAAGGAGCCGCUUGCUUCUGGCAGAACACCCCUGCCGGAGGCUUCCGGCGCUCUGCUGCCAUCUUGGCCAGCUCGUCAGCAGUGAAGUUAUCCUUCCGCUUGACGUGCUCGAAUCGCAAACCUUUAAACUUACGUUCUAGCUUGCGGACUUCCUCCACGUGCGGUGCCAUCUGCGGGCAGUCGUAGUCCUUGUUCCCCUGGUUGAUCACGAGCUGGGAGUCCCCGCGAAUAACUAGGCGCUUGAUGUCGAGGGCGAUCGCCGCCCGUAACCCGGUGAGCAAGUCCUCGUACCGCCGUAUUAUUGGUGGAGUUCGGGAAAUUGAGCUGGACAGCGAACCUCAACUGGUCCCAUGUCGGUGACUCGAUGACGACCCCGGCGCCAGCUCCUUGGAGACUGAACGCGCCGUCGAAGUAGAGGACCCAGUGGUCCUCGUCCAGCUUGCCGGGCAGGCUGGUCUCCGGCUCAUUCUCUUCCACGCUCGUCGACGUCCAUUCCGCGACGAAGUCCGCCAAGGCUGUACUCUUGAUGCUCUUGGAGUUGGUGAAGUGGAGGUCCAACUCCGACAGCUCCAUCCUCCAUUCGGCCAACCUCCCGGUGGCUUCACUGUUGGUGAGGGCUCGCUCAAGGCACCACCGUGACGCGGUGCGCCUGAAAGUAGUGGCGCGGCUUGCGGGACGCAAGGAGAAUCCCCAAGAGGAGCUUCUGUACUUGCGGGUACCUUGUUCGCGCAUCGCGCAGCACCGUGCUGACGAAGUACGCCGGGUGCUGCACUAAUCGCUUCCGCGGUGCGGAAGCUGCCGGCUCGGGGGUGGUCCCUGGGCCCGAGGCGGUUGCUGGGGGCCGCUCAGCCCCCUGCCCCGCAGCCCCCCGGCUCGGAAGGGAUCCUUGGGGUAUGCACGAUUAAGAUUAGUAAAAUCUACACACAUGCGACGCUUGUUCCCUGCUUUAGGUACUACUACAGGGUUAGACAACCAAGUGGCGUACAGAAGUUCCCUGAUAGCCCCAGCAGCCUUGAGCUUGUCCACCUCCUACUUGAUGAAAUCUUUACGCUCUUGUGCUUGCCGCCGAAUCUUCUGCUUGACGGGGCGCGCGUCCGGGCGCACCGCGAGCCGAUGCUCAAUCACCUCCCUAGGAACUCCGGGAAGAUCUGAUGGUUCCCAAACGAACACGUCGGCAUUCUCCCGGAGGAAAGUGAUGAGGGCACUUUCCUAUUCGGCAGCGAGGUUCGCACCGACGAUGACGGUGCGUUCCUUGUUGCCGGCUUGGAGGGGCAGCUUCUUUACCUUGGCGGCCUCCUCCCGGAGCUUCUGCCCCUUGCCGGGGCGCGAGCUCGAGCCUGCGCUUCCCCCGGCAAGCUCUUGAUCGGCUUCUUCGUUGCCAGGGCAUCGCCCGGCGAGCUGUCGUCUCCGGCAGCGUCUUCAUCACCGGCGUCAGCCGUGGCGGCGGCCCUGACAACCUCGCCAACGCACCAGGCCGCGUCCUUGAGGUCGCAUCUGAUUGAGAGAACUCCAUAUACGGACGGCAUCUUCAUCACGCCAUAAGCACAAUGCGUAGCCGCCAUGAACUUGAUCAGCGCUGGCCGACCAAGGAUCCCGUUGUAGGGCAACGGGGUGUGUGCCACGUCGAACACUAUGUGUUCGGUCCUGAACGUUUCCCGAGACCCGAAGGUGACCGGCAACGUGAUGCGCCCCAGCGGGCGCAUGAUCCCAGGGUUCACCCCCCGGAACAGGUCGGUGGGCUCAGCUGCUCCAUUGGCAACUGGAGUUUCUCCACCAGCCUGGCGGACAGGAGGUUAAGCCCCGCUCCGUUGUCCACCAGUACCUUGGUCACCGUCAUAUUGCUGAUGAUUGGUGAGACGACGAAGGGUAUUACCCCUGAACCCAGCUGCCGCGCUGGGUGAUCGUCAACGCUAAAGGUGAUCGGCACAUGCCACCACCUCAGCGGCUGUUGCGGCUCCGCGUCCGGCAACAGCGCGCACACGUUGCGGGUGAGGCGCUUCACCGCGGCAUGGGAUGGGAGGGCAUAGGCUCCCCCAUGGAUGCAGGCGAUGCCGCGAGGCUCUUGGAAGCCCGGCUCGUCGCCACCAGUACAAUCGAACUCGCGCUGCUCCUCAGCGCGAGCCUUGUCGCGUCCCAGGGGAGGGAGCUCUCGUCCCGCGUGAGGCUGGCCGCGUCCCCCUUGGGGUUCGUCCCUGCCGGAACUGCCGCCGGCAGGCCUUGGCCCCGCUCUGGGGUCAUUCGGACAAUCUCGGGAGAGAUGCCCGAUGUCGCCGUAGUUGAAGCAGGCGCCAGCAGCACGGCGCUCCUCAUGGCGGUGCUCGCGCCGCUUCUUGAUCCCUUGCAGGAUGCAACAGUCCUGCGCGUCGUGGGUGGAGUUGUGGAUGGGGCAGCAGGACGGGUCACCCUGCUUGCCCCAGAACCACCACCCGGCGAGGUCUUCUUCGCAGGCCUCGUGGCAGGAGCCCCCGAGUCCGCAGCGAGAACCUGCUUCCCGCUGCGCUUGCGGGAACCCUUCUUCUGCGAACCAUCGCCUGGGCUCGUGGCAGCCAAGGCUGCCAGCUCGGGCGCUAGGCGCCCUUCCUCGGCCAUGGCGCACUUGUGCGCCAGGGCGUAUAGAUCCUGCGUCGUCCGGAUCCGAUGCGUGCUCAGCUUCUCGCGCAUCUUGGGGUCGCGGACGUUGAUGGCGAAGGUGUUGAUGAUGGCAGCUGCCUCCGCCUCUGGGAUAGAAUAGGAGAGAUUAGAGAAGCGGUUGACGACGCUCCGCAACGUCUCUCCUGGCUUCUGCACGAUGGUGUGCAGUUCCGCCAUGGUUCCCGGGCGCUUGUAGCCGCCCUAGAACGCGCUCACAAACUGCUCGUGCAGGUACGCCCAAGUGACGAUGAACCCGGCGGGCAGGUUGAGCAGGCAGGUUCUCGCUGAUCCUUUCAGGACCAUUGGGAACCAGUUGGUUCUGACCUUGUUGUCGGCGCCGAUGGCAUGCAUCCCCAACAUGUAGGUCAGGAAGAAAUCCUUGGGAUUCAUGGUCCUGUCGUACGUACCGAGCGUUGGUGCUCGGAACAUAUGGGGCCAUGUCACCCGCCGCAGCUCGCGCGUGAACGCGGUGUAGCCGUCCUCGAGGCCCAUGGGAGCGUCUUCCUGCUCCUGCGGGCGUUGGCGCUCUAUCUCGCGCCUGCGCCGGCGCUCUAAACGCUGGCAUAGAUCCUCUUGCUGGCGGGCAUCCCGCGUGAUGGUGGGUGAUGAGUCACCCCGCGUGACGGUGGGUGACGAGUCCGAGGACCCCUUCAGGCCCCCGUUUCCCUGGCCUCCCUGCGGAGGAGGGUUCUCCCCCUGCCGCGAGGCGCGGGGCGCGGAGACGCUCCGGGUUCUGCCUGUGGCCGGAGCCAACCGGGGCGCCCUCGCCUUGCGGCUGCUGAGCGGCUAGAGCGAGGAGCGCGUCCAACUCCUCGUCCCACAUCUCGUGCGCCGGCGUGCCUUGCUGCGGUUCAUACCGCACCAUGACCCACGCGGCGAUGAUGGCUUCCGCCGGGGUUCGUGCGGGAGGCAGCCGAUUUCCCGAACGGCUGCUGUCCGCUCUGGCCCCGGACGCCUCCGGGUGCGCGGGGUGUGAGCCCCCAGGCGUCACCCGCAACACGAUAUGCCCAUGGUGCCGCUGUUGCUGCUAAUCCUCGGCCCGCGACUCGACUCGCUGGCCAGUGCGGGCGGCACCAUGCCCGCUCGCGCGGCUGGCCCCGGCACUGGGGGCCGCCUGUCCCCUCAGCUGAUUGUCCGCAGAUGGCCGAGGAGGCGGGGGAGGCAGCUGUGAUUGCUGCACUCUCGAGGGCUUCGGGUUCUCCUGAGCCCCCGACGUGGGUCGCACGUCAUGCGACCGCGUGUGUGCCGCUGUGGCCUCACGCGAGUCUAUCCGAGGGUCACCAGCCCGCUUGGGAGGCAUGGUGGCCGGUCCCGUUGGCGAAGAAGACGAAGCCGACGUCGAUGCAAACACCGCUGCCGGUGGUCACCGGCGAGCUCUCCUCUAGCGACCCCUACCUGGCGCGCCAGAUGUCGUAGCACGGGGCUCCGACACCAGGGGCGUGCGGUCACGCCGAUCGUUCCGGCGAUCGCCGGCGUGGCCGAUGGGCCUACGCGACCUGCAAAGUAAUGUACACCGGAUGCAUGCAAGCUAAGAACACAUGCACACACGUUUUUACCCAGGUUCGGGCCACCCGAAGGUGUAAAACCCUACGUCCUACCUGUCUGAAUUGGUAUUGACUAUAGAUCAAGUGUUUACACGUUGCCGAGGGGAGGGUCCCCGGGCGUUCUCUUUCUGGCUAAGUGCUCUUCACUGCUUUAGGGUACUGCUAAUGGCCAAGGGUGAGUCCGUUUACCCGUCAGAUUGUGGAACCGUGGAACCCCUUGACCGCCGGCGGGAGUCCUCCUUUUAUACUGAAGAGGAUACCACAGGUGCCGCGGCGCAUGCAUUACAAGUGUCGAUCAGGGAGACCUGCAACUCCCCCUCGGUGAGCUGGUGGCGUGCAUGGGUGCCAACCUGCUGCUAGGGGUCUAAGACCCUAGAGGUAGGAUUGGACAUCCACUGUCACCUGAUUUGGACGGGGAAGGCCUCUCCUGUCGGCUCAUUUAAUGCGCCGUGUGCCUCACUCCUUGCCUUGGUGACACUGCGCAUCCGACGCCCGCCACGCGCCCGCGUGGCGCUGUUGCUCUGUCCGAUGGGCCCCACCUUUGUGGCGGGAGCCUGCGCCCGGGAACUCCUCCUCCCGUCAAGUCGCUCCCCGGGAAGCACCCAGGCCAAACACACCCCGGAACCCCCCUCCCGGGAAGCGGCUUCCCGGGAGCUGUCCAGCUCGAAGCCCCGCUAGCCCUUCCUGGCUGGUAGCUUGCCGGGCUGCUCAUGGCUGCUGCCUGGGACGAGAUCCUCCCGGGAACUCAAAGACGGGGCCCACACGUCGUGCAACGGUGGUACUCCGGGUGCCACUGGUGCGACAGGCCUGCACAACACAAAGAAAAACAGAAGAGAAGCCCCUCGGGCCGGAACUUCCGGCCCACGCAGCAGCAGCAAAAAAAGAGAGGGCCAAAGCUCCUCGGUCGCCGUCCCGUCUCCUCUCCGGCCCAUCUACACGCAAAUAAAAAAGAGGGGAAGGCAGGGCGGACCGCCGCCCGUGCUCGCCGGGUGUUCGACGAAACGCCCACACCCACGCCCGCACUCGUGCGCAUGCCGUUCCUGCACCGCGCCGUGCCCCCGUCCGCGCACGCGCUCGCGCACCUGCCGUGCCAGCGCCCCACUGUGCCCGUGUCCGCGCCAUGCCGCGAGCGCGCCCACGUCGUGCCAUGCUCGCACCGGAGUCGCGCCCUCGCCGCGCCGGGCCGCCCACGCGCCUACGCUGCGUCGUGCUCCUGCCUCGCCGCGCCCUCGCCCAUGCCGCGCCGUGUUCACGCCUCGCCAUGCCCAGGUUACACCAAGGCCGCGCCCGCGUCGCGCAGCGUCUCACCGCGCCGGGUCGCACAGAGGCCUCGCUCGCGUGAGACGUGCUCGCGUCCGCACCAACCCGUGCCCAUGCCCAUGCCAAGCCGCGACGCCCUGAAGGCAUUCGAAAGUAUGCCCGCAAGGCUCGCCGGAUCUAAAAAGCAUCAAAGCGAACGCCAUAAAGCUCCCCUCACCUUCACAAGAGCAAGAAAGGCGUGGCCGACAGCGAGGAUGUCCCGGAAGAACUUACAGGCACGACCGACCCCUCGCUCCAAGCGGCCUCGGGCGUGCUCCACGUCCCCACGAAGACUCGGUGAUGAGGAGCUUCCGCGCCCGCGCCUCGGCAACCAACACGAUCUCCGUCGAAGAAGGGAAGUAGCUAAUGCCCCUGCGGAGCUCCCUACUACACCAAGCCCUCGAAGGAAUGCCAGGCGCCGCCGAACGCGUCUUCGGCAUUGGGCAAGCCAAAGGAGUAUGGUGAGAAGCUCCACAGUGCCCAAGGUCUCCAUUUUAUAGGCCACCGGAGCCCCUAGGCAUCUGGGCCGGACCAAUGGUGCGGCGACACCUCGCCGUCCUUUUCACCAAGGAACAAGACAAGAAGAGGAAGAAAUGGGCAAGGGGAGCAUCCCCUUUUCCUAAAAGGAGGCCGGCCUGGUCGAAGAAGGGCGCCCCUCGCCCGGGCCCCACGUCCCGGCCGUGCCGGCGUCACCCCCGGUGACGAGCGUCACCUGCAAAGGCAAAAGCUUGGACCGAACGGUCCCUUCCCGUACGAAGGAGGAAGAUGACCUGUGGUUGUCCGAUCUAGGGUGCCUAGCCUCCCACGGUCGUCGGAUCUCCAUCACUUAAACCCGAACCAGUAUCGGGCCCAGCUGGGCCGUGGCCCAACAGUGGCCCAAGAAGCCGGCAUAAAAAAAAGGGAGGGGGGAACAGUGCGCCCGAAGGCGGCGCAGGUUCCGGCCCAGCUCACGUGGCCGGCUGGGUUCGAGAUUUUUGCAAAAAAGCCCGAGACUUUGGGAAAAUUGCCAAUAAAACCUCGGAAAAUUCGGGGAGGCCCGCAGGGCACCUCAUUUUUGCAAAAAAGUCCUCCGGGACACCGGAUUUCUCAUAGAGAGGUCCUAGGGUCCCGGUUUUUGCUAAAAUACCCCCCGAAAUUCGGUUUCUCGCAGGCAAAAUUGCCAUAGGCAUGGAAUUUCCCCGAAAUACCUCCAAGGCUCCUAUUCUCUGCAGGAAAACUGCCAAGUACCUAUGUUUCUCACAAGGAAGCUUGCCAGGGAAUUCAUCGAAGUCACCUUGACAAAUACAAGAACAAGGAAAAAGAAUCAAGAGUCCCGCAUCGAAGGUUGACCCGAUGGCAUUCUCAAUGCUUCCAGCUCAAGGGGGCUACUGUUGUAGUAAAAUAAAACCCUUAUAUGGGCCGAACCGUAAACCCUAUGUGGCGACGACUAAGUUAACAUUUCCCAAGCGUGAGUCAAGAUGCCCACGUGGCGUAGUACGUGGAAAAGGAAAACAAGUCAACAAGUCAAGUCUCUCAUGCCAUGAUCAAAGGAAGGAAUGAGUUAGAGUAUACAGUUCAUAUUCUUCCGUCAUUGAUAAACAGCUUGUUGGACAGUACUCAACACAAUUACCACAAAAUAUACAAACUCCGAAAUCAAUACUAUAAUUAAGCAAUUGUUUCCUUUUAACAGCCUUUUCAAAUCUCCAAUCCACAAUGGGGAGAUCUAUCGGACAUACGCGAACACAAACUUCACAAGCAAUACAUUUAUCAAAUUCAAAGUGGAUUCGUCCCCGAAAAAGCUCCGGUGUAAUUGAUUUUUCGUAAGGGUAGUGAAUCGUUAUAGGUAAACCAUUUGUGUGGGAUAAGGUAGUUAUGAAACUUUGACCAAUGUACCUUGUAGCACGUAUUGUUUGUUGGCCAUAACUCAUGAACCCAGUUACCAUAGGGAACAUAUUCUAAAUAUCUAUGAAAAAGGUAUGUUUCUUUCUCUUGUUUGAGAGAGCUUUUGUGUUGAAAAUAUUCUUACUGUUAUUCUAUUAUCUUAUUUAGAGUGAAACAAGUUGGGAAGAGGUUGUUAAUAAGAGAUUACCCAGGGAAAUAGGUAAAAGAAAUUUCCAUCCAAGAUUUAAUAACUGAUCGAUUCUCAUCCUGGGUAAAGUCCAUCUUAUUGUGAUAGAAAUGAAGAGAAAUAAAUAAGCUUUAGUUAAUGUAAUAAAGAUACCCAUUGUCAUUUCUAAAAUCCCAACUGCUUUAUUCAUUUGGAAAAAAUCAAAAAAGAAUAUAUAGGGAAUAGAUAAAUCCCACCCGCCUAAGUAGAGAACUGUUACAAAUAAAGAGGAAACUAAUAAAUUUAGGUAAGAAACAAGAUAAAAUAAACCAUAUUUUAUACCGGAAUAUUCGGUUUGAUAACCUGCUACUAAUUCUUCUUCUGCUUCUGGUAAAUCAAAGGGUAAUCUUUCACAUUCUGCCAAAGAAGAAAUUAGAAAAACCAGAAAACCUAUAGGCUGGCACCAAAUAUUCCACCCAAAAAAACCAUAUUUGGACUGUGCUUCAACUAUAUCAACUGUACUUGAACUGUUAGAUAAUCAUAGUCGAUGAUAACAUCACAGUUCCCACCGCUAUUCCAAAACCGUACAUGAAACCUUAGCUUCAUACGGCUUCUCUAUGAUCAGAAAAAGGGAAGGGCUGUUUCCUUUCGGUAUGAGCCUCUGGGGCGUAUAUAGAAUUAUUUUCUAGGCAAAAUAAAAUCGAUUGGAAAGCCCUAAAUUAGACCAAAGGAAUUCUGUCUGCUAGAAUAAGAGCGCUUCCGAAUUGAUCUCAUCCUUUAUAAUAUAAUGAAAAUUGUUCUUUGUUAAGUACUAACUUAAUCUUGGAAUAAAACACUCGUUAUAGGAAUUCUAUUAAUAAAUGGAAAGAAUUGGGCAUUAGUUCAGGAAGAAUUCUGUAUGAAUAUGGAUAGAGGAAGGAAAUAAUUAAUUUUUUUUUUUAUGUAUUGCAUUCUAUAUCUUUUGUCCUAUUCUUCUUUCCCCGGGGAGGGGUAUUUAAAAAGAAAAAAGAAAUAAAGGAUUAAUUCGUUCUUGAUAGCCAUUUCCUUAACAAGUGAAUGGAAACAUACUCUGGAUCGGAAUCCCAAGAAAGUACUACUUGAUCAUUUCCACUAAUUUCAAGUCCUUAUUAUGAUUCCUUUUAUGGGAAAAAUCUCUAAUUCUUAGAUUUCCCCAUUACUAAUCCUUUAUGUACUUUAGUGUUCCUGACCUUUCACUAACUUUUGAUGGAUUCUUUUUAUGUUUAUAAGUUAUAGUAAUAAUUAGGGAUAUUUUACUAAUGGAAUUCUAUAUCAUCCUUUCGUAAAUCCUUUAUUCUUGCCCGCUUCAAGACAUGAUGACUAAUUAAAAAAUAGCAAUCUUGGGGUAAAGAGUUUACACUACUUAUGUUUACUUCAAUUUUUUUCUUGUACGUAGGAAAUGAGAUUUUUUUUUUACUGCAAAUUAAUAAGCUGUUUUAUUUCACUCAUAUAGCUAUCUAGUUUAACUUACCAACCCGAAUACAGAAUAAGAAAAAGAAGAUAAAUAUUUAAUGGAUUUUAGAGGAAAAGGAUCCCAUUUUAACGAAUCACACGUAGAGAUAUUGCUAAUACACAAAAAGUUAAUGGUAUUUCAUAACUAAUCGAUUGAGCAGCAGCUCGUAGACUGCCUGAAAAAGAAUAUUUAUUAUUUGAGCUAUAUCCUGCCAUAAGAAGACCAAUAGGAGCAAUACUUGAAAUGGCAAUCCAUAAAAAAACACCAAUACUAAGAUCAGCUAAAGCAAAACGAUAUCCCAAAGGGAUCACUAAAAAACUUAAUAAAAUUGAUAUGACUGCUAUAGAGGGUCCAAUGCUAAAUAAAGGAAUAUCCCCUCGAGAUGGUAGAAUAUCCUCUUUUAAAAGUAGCUUAGUCCCAUCUGCUAUAGCUUGAAGUAGUCCUAGGGGACCGGCAUAUUCAGGACCAAUGCGUUGUUGGAUCGAAGCGGAUAUUUCUCUUUCUAACCAAACAAUUACGAGUACUUCUAUUGUGAUUCCCAAAAGAAGGGUCAAAAUGGGUAGAAUCCAUAUAAGUCCAUAGAUUUCUUUUAAUAAUUCUGAUUUCGAAAAAGAAUUGAGAGUUUCUACCUCUACCCUAUCUAUUAUCAUUUCAACGAUCAACUUCCCCCAUAAUGAUAUCUAUACUACCUAAUAUCGUCAUGAUAUCAGCCAAUUUCAUUUUUUUAACUAACUGAGGAAGAAUUUGCAAAUUAAUAAAACCGGGUGGACGAAUUUUCCAUCUCCAGGGAAAAAGGCCAUCAUCUCCUACUAGAUAAAUCCCUAAUUCACCUUUGGGGGCUUCUAUUCUUACGUAAAGCUCUUGCUUUGACAAUUCGAAAUUGGGUGAAGGUUUUUUACCAAGAAAUCGAUAUUCAAAAUCAUUACAUUCGGAAUUCUUUUCUUUCUUAAAGCGACGGACUUCUAAAUUUUCAUAAGGUCCUCCAGGAAUUUUCUCUACAGCUUGUUGAAUAAUUUUGAUAGAUUCUCUCAUUUCACCGAUUCGUACUAAAUAGCGAGCUAAUGAAUCUCCUUCUUUUUGCCAUUGGACUUUCCAACCAAAUUGGUUGUAAGACUCAUAAAGAUCUACUUUACGAAGAUCCCAUCGUAUUCCAGAAGCUCGUAACAUGGGUCCUGAUAAGCCCCAAUUUACUGCUUCUUCUCCGCUAAUAAAACCUACUCACUCAACUCGUUCCAAAAAAAUAGGAUUCUGUGUAAUAAGUUGUUGAUAUUCAACAACUCCCCGUAAAAAAUAAUCACAGAAAUCUAAGCAUUUCUCGAUCCAUCCAUAAGGUAGAUCGGCGGCUACUCCUCCGAUGCGAAAGUAAUUGUGCAUCAUUCGCAUACCUGUAGCAGCUUCAAAUAGAUCGUAUAUUAACUCUCUCUCUCUAAAAAUGUAGAAAAAAGGAGUCUGUGCGCCGAGAUCCGCCAUAAAAGGCCCAAGCCAUAAUAAGUGAGAAGCUAUACGGCUCAACUCUAACAUAAUUACCCUAAUAUAGCUGGCUCUUUGGGGUAUUUGAAUAUUUUCUAAAAAUUCUGGUGCAUUUACCGUUAUUGCUUCUGUAAACAUAGUAGCUAAAUAAUCCCACCGUGUUACAUAAGGUAAGUAUUGUAUAAUAGUUCGGUUUUCCGCGAUUUUUUCCAUUCCUCUGUGUAAAUACCCUAAUAUGGGUUCACAAUCAAUAACAUCUUCACCAUCGAGAGUAACGAUCAGUCGAAGAACACCAUGCAUUGAUGGGUGUUGAGGGCCCAUAUUGACUAUCAUGAGAUCUUUUCUUGUAAGCGGUAGACUCAUAUCCUUUCUUCCUUAAUUCGUUAUUCCAUGAAUUCCUCAAAACGAGGCUCAUCAAAAUGCAAAAUCUAAGACUACUAUAAGGCUACUAAAUAAAAUAAGUAAAAAAAUUCGAACGAUUAAAUUACUGCUCCCGAAUAUUCAAUUGACUGAUUAAUUUCUUAUAACGUACUCUAUUUUUCUUUGCCAAAUAAGCCAGCAAACGUCGACGUUUUCCCAAAAGUCUUCGUAGACCUCUUUCAGAUGAAAAAUCUUUUUUGUGUAAUUCCAAAUGUGAAGCAAGUCUCCGUAUCUUAUUGGUGAAAUUGAAUACUUGAAAUUCAACAGAACCUUUUUUUUCUUCUUUUUCUUCUUUAACCAUAAAUCCAAAGAUUUUUCUACCUCCUUCCUUUUUCAUGUAUUUUUCUAAUCAGGAAAAAUAAAACAUUAUGUCAGUUAUUUUGAAGUUAUUCUAAUCUUGUACACACAAAAAUUUGCAAUUAUUCAUCUACUACUGGAAUUUGGAUUUAUUUUAUCGAUGCAAAUUGGAU
rnacentral:lncRNA from 1 species